rnacentral:lncRNA from 1 species
UUUUUCAAUAGGGUAAGUGUGAGGCAUACUUUCUGACCCCAACCAGAUCCAUCAUUUUGAUUUAAGAAUUUUGCAUUUGUAGAUAUACCAAGAUGCUUUUGUUUUGCUGUUAACACAUUUCCAAACAAUUCAGAUAAAGUGUACCAAGAAACAUCAUCAAUAGAAAUAUCCAUAUUUUCAGUCUACAGAUUAGGAACUUGCAAUAAUAUAGCUCAUAAAUCCAGUAGAAAAGCUUUAAUAUCAUGCAACUUUGUCAAUGCUUCUCUCAUGGUUGAACGAUCUGUGGUUGAAUGAGCAGCACACGACAAACCAACAUGUAUUAUGGCAGUAAUACACUCUUCAGUUUUGAUUUUCCAAUGGGACAAAGUAUUGCUGCUAGUACCGAUGCUGUUAAUGCAACCAGAAGAACUAGUGAAGAUGCUAUAGUCUAUACAAGCAUCAUCGUUAAAAAGCCGUUUGUCAGCCAUAUCUAAAAAUUGAUUUAUGAGCAGUGCAGAUGCCAACUUAUUCUGAUUUAAACCUUCCUGAAACAUGUCAUCAGUGGGUUUCUUUGCUGUGAAUAUCUCAAGCAGCAAAAUUCCAAAGCUGUAGACAUCCCUACUUGUUGAAAUUCUGCUACCUAAACUACACUCUACAACAAAAUAACAGCACAUUAGAGUAAUGGACACCCGCACUCAAAAAAUUGUAAUACUAGUCAUAAAGGGAAAACAAUGAUUUGGACAGUUUUAGUUGUGUGUGGUACCUGGAGCAAUGUAACCAAUCGAGCCCUUUAGUCCAAUUGUGCUGCUUUCAUCCUCUGAUGGAUUCUUCCAAAGGAACCUUGCCAGUCCAAAAUCUCCCACAUGGGCUCCCAUAUUAUCAUCUAAAAGUACAUUUGCAGGUUUCAAAUCACAAUGGACAACAGGUGGAUCACAGUCAUGGUGCAGAUAAUUCAAGGCUGAAGCUACAUCUAUUGCAAUAUUUAAUCUCUGGAUCAGAGUCAACGCUAACCUAGAAUUGGUAUCUUCUGGAUACAGCCAUUUCUCCAGGCUACCAUUGGACAUGAACUCCAUAACCAAGGCCUUGAAUUCAACCCUCCUUUUGUCAAUGCUUGAGCAUGAAGUGAUAACCUUCACAAGGUUUCGAUGCUGAAUGUUCCUCAACACUUCACAUUCUGUAUUGAAAUUCUCAGAUGCUUCACCUUGUUGUAAGUCGAUAACCUUCACUGCAAAUAUGGUGUUGACCCCAUUUUCACCAGUUCUGAAAACUCCUUUAUAUACAGAUCCAAAGCCUCCCUUUCCUACCAAAUUUUCUGCGGAGAAAUCAUUUGUAGCAUGCUGGAUGUCAGAGUAUGAUAUCUUUGGCAGCAACGCCUUGAAACAAGGAGAUGGAAAAGUUGUUCCUCUCCUCUUUUUCUUGUUUUGGGAGAUCAGCAUCCAUGUGAUGCAGGCUGCACACAUUAACAGAGUCAAGCUGGCAACUGGAAUCACAAUCUUGAGUAUCAAAUGCCUAUUUGACUUCACUUUUGUGAUACAUAUGGGGAUUCUCAUCUUUCCUGCAGCCUCAGGGUCACUACCACAGAGCUUAUUAUUUCCUGUAAGAGAAAGCCAGGUAAGGUUCAUGAAAACACCUUUUCUUGGAACUGGUCCUCCCAAGUCAUUGAAAGACAAAUUUAAGAUCUGCAAAUACAAAAGAUCCUGUAACUCUUCGGGGAUUUGUCCAGUCAGACUGUUGGAAGAAAGAUCCAUGCUCUCUAAUGCUAUUAAUUUACCCAUCGACACUGGUAUGGCCCCUGAGAGUUUGUUUGUGGCAAUAUUAAAACUACGCAGACUUAAGCAAGAACCAAUUGUCGUUGAAAUAUUUCCUGACAGCUGGUUAUUAGAAGCAUCCAGGACCUCAAGGUGUUCCAAACUUUCAACUAGGGCGGGCAGAGAACCACUUAGUUCAUUAUGCGCCAAAUAUAUCUCGAUUAUAUCAAGAAGUCUGAAAAUCUCCUUGGGUAUGCUACCAUUGACCCUGUUCUGUCUUAGACCCAGUCUCUUUAAAUUCUUGCACUCUCCAAUACUUGUGGGGAUUCUACCAGAGAACUGGUUGUACCCCAUUGUCAGCAAAAAGAGUCGUGUAAGAUUGCCAAAGUUAUCUGGAAUUUCUCCGGAUAACAUAUUAUUAUCAACCAAUAAUCUCUGUAGUUGCUGAAGUUUUCCUAGGGAAUUUGGUAUCAUACCUGUGAAAAGAUUUUGGUGUAUGUCCAAGGCCCAGAGAUUUUGAAAUCUUUCAAAUCCUUGGGGAAUUCUACCAGUCAGAAAAUUGCUGCCAAUGCAAAAUUCAAGGAGAUGAGUAGAAAGAUUCGCAACUGAAGUUGGAAGUUCACCAGCUAGCUGGUUAUCAUUAAGAUAUAGAAACUCCAACUGUGUAGAGUUUGCUAGUGAAUUAAAUACCUGAAGAUUAAGCUUGGUGGUGGAAGAGAGAUUAUUCAGGCCAAGAUGUAGGAGUCUAAGAUUAUUCAUGUUACCAAGUAGAGGAACUGGCCCUUGAAAGUGGUUUGAAGAAAAGUCUAGGACUUGAAUUUGUGAAGCAUUAGAGAAAGAACUGGGAAUUGGCCCUUCCAGCUGGUUAUGUGCUAGGUAGACUUCUGCCAGGUUUGGAAGUGCAAGGCCCAUAUCAGUUGGUAGUUCUCCAACAAGCAUAUUUUCUGCUACAGAUAAGUAGAUCAAAGAAGAGAUGUUGUAGAUGGAAUAAGGGAUCUUUCCCUCAAACUGAUUCUCUGAGAGCUGAAGUCUUUGAAGAUUAUGGAGAUGACCCAGCUCAUUUGGGAUUUUGGCGAAGAAUUGGUUUCUUGCUAGGCUGAGAACAGUAAGAGAGGUGAGGUUUCCAAAUUUUGGAGCGAUUACACCUGUAAGGUUAUUCGCUGCAACGUCAAGAAUUCUGAGUCUCGGCAGAUCUCCAAGUUCAGAUGGAAGGUUCCCAAUAAGUUGGUUGUGCUCAAAAUAAAUCUCCUCAAGGUUAUAACAAUGAGAAAGACCAACUGGAAUUCUACCAUUAAUGGAGUUUCUUGCAAGGUUAAUAUUCUGAAGGAGUGACAGAUGGCUAAAAUCCAGUUGAAGUUGGCCAUAAAAUGAAUUGUUGGAAAGAUCUAGCAAUUGGAGGGAAGUGAGGUUAGAGAGUCGAGGGUGUAUCAUACCAGAGAGCCCAUAACCAGCAAGACGAAGUGACAGAACUCUAGUUCCGUUGUUGGCACAAGUGACGCCAAACCAAGUGCAGUGAGAUGAAUUCAGGCUCCACCCAGAAAGAACAUUUUGGGAGUCAGAGACUAUGGACUUGAAAGAUAGAAGUGCGAGAGUAUCUGUAUCUGUAUCAGCAUCAAUAGCCCCUACCCUGUUCGUGCUGCAAUAUGGAAUAAUUUGAAAGGGGAGGAGGACAACCAAUGAGAAAUAGAGAUGUUUCUUCAUUUUUGAAAGAAUGGUCAUUGAAUUCAAGAUUUGCAGUCUAUAUUUUAGCUGCCAGCACAUGUUAAGGCCUGAUGUGUGUAGGAGGAUAACCAUUGAAAAGUUGAAUUCAAUUAUCAAACAAGGGCAAAUUAUUUAUUAAUCAGCCCCUGUUAAGAGCAAUGUAACUUCCUCCUAACCAUGUCUCCUGACAAGAUAUGAAAAUGACCUUAAAUUUAUAUAAUUAUUUUCCAGACCUAGCUUCUGUCUUAUUCUUCAUCCUCAGAUUCCAUAAUGAGGGAAAUGCCAUUUUUCUGUAUUAAGUAUCAAGAGGGAGAGUCGAGUUAGCAGCAGUGGAUGGCUGAAAUCAUUUGAUCAAUUCUGAUUUCUGCAAAAGAAACAGAAAUCUGUUGAUUAAUUGGUCGAUUGUGCUCCCUUUUCUCUUACUAUGCAGGGUAUACUAGAGAACAAUGACCUCUGGUGCAUAGUUUACCCUUUCAGAUAUUGUUAGGAGGAAGAUACCACUGCAACUAGUAUAGAAAGAGGGUGACAAGCUAGACUGAUAGUCCUUUGACUUUUUUGUUAGAAUGCCUGAGAAAUGUUAUAAAAAAGCAUGUUAUAAUAAUCCCAAAUGCUGUCAAAGAAAAACAAAUCUGAAAGUUUCUAGCUGGAUUGAAUAGUCGAUGGAUUCAUAUCAAUGGCAUUAUUUCUUAAAAUUUUUCCAAGGAGAAUGUACUUGAUCCAAGUGCUAUACGAAGAAUAAAUUUAGCUUUUAAUUUCUAUAAGACUACUAAUUUGAGAUCUGUCGAAAAUAGCUGUCUGCCUAAAUGGAUUGAUCUCAAGACAAAACAAUUAAUCCUUUUCAACAGUUGACUGUGAUCCCUCCUCCCCUUGGUUGCCAUCUCAUUUUCUUGCCAACAUUUCUCUCUCUAUUGUUCAACUUCUAAGUCAGUAAGAGGCAGAGAGAAGUAGGUAUGAAUUCUCUCUAUUCUAGACAUUUAUUUGAUUGUCUCCCACAUUUGGGAUUUGUCUUCCAUUCUGACGAUGUUCAUGACUCUUCAUUUAUGGAUUUGAGCCUUUUCGAGUAUCUGCCUGUCUCUUAUUAUAUCACUUUAUCUACACCAUCCUCACCCACAUCACAGAUAUUUGAUAUAGAUCAUGAGAUUGCACAACAUGAUUCAGAUGAUGACUUGUUUCCUAAUUAUGAUUCAGACCCCAUUGAUCAAAGAGUUUCACCUGCUAUAGAGGACACAUAGGUUGUUGAUUUUGGCAUAGCAGAUCAACCUAGGGAGUUAAGGAUCGGAUCGAAUUUAUCUGCAGAUGAGAUAGACAACCUUAUCUAGUUGCUCAUAUCGUAUUUGAACGUUUUUGCAUGGUCUUAUGAGGACAUGUCGGGCCUUGAUCCAUCUAUUGUCCAACAUUGUUUGCCACUUCUGCCCUAUGCCAGACUGGUUAAGUAGAAGUUGAGACAAUUGCACCAUUGCUGGAGCUUGCAAGUGAAAGAGGAGAUUCAGAAGCAACUCAGUGUAGGAUUUUUAUUAGUGGUUGAGUAUCCUGAGUGGCUAGCUAAUGUUGUCCUUGUUCCCAAAAAAGAUGUCAAGGUGAGAGUUUGUGUUGAUUUCCAAGAUCUCAACAAGGCUAAUCCUAAGGAUGAUUUUCCUCUCCCACAUAUCGAUAUGCUAGUUGACAGUAUGACAGGUCAUUCGAUGUUGUCCUUUAUGGAUGAAUUUUUCGGGUACAGUCAAAUCCUGAUGGCUUUAAAGGACAUGGAGAAGACGUCCUUCAUUAUCGAGUGGAGUACUUAUUGCUACCAAGUCAUGUCAUUCGGGUUGAAGAAAGCAGGAGCUAGUUAUUAGAGAGCAGCGACCACCCUCUUCCAUGACAUGAUGCAUCGAGACGUCGAGGUUUAUGUAGAUGACAUGCUAGUGAAAUCCCGAGAUAGAAUAGACCACCUAGCAGCCUUGGAGAGAUUCUUUGAGAGGAUCAGGCAGUUCAGAUUGAGACUAAAUCCCAAGAAGUGCACUUUUGGAGUGACUUCUGGGAAGCUACUAGGAUACAUGGUCAGUGAGAGAGGCAUAUAGGCAGAUCCAGAUAAGAUUAAAGCCAUCCUUGACAUGCCUGUACCAAGGAUCGAGAGAGAUAUCAGAGGCUUCUUGCGUAGACUUCAGUACAUCAGGCGAUUCAUCGCCAGAUUGACAGACAUCUAUGAACCCAUUUUCCGACUCUUGAGGAAGAGUCAACAUACUGUUUGGGAUGAUCAGUGCUAAAGCGCAUUUGAGAGGAUCAAAGAGUAUUUAUUGUCUCUUCCAGUCUUGGUGCCUCCUACACUAGGUUAUCCUUUACUCUUAUACCUGUCGGUCUUAAACGUAGCCUUGGGAUGCAUGUUAGCUCAGCUCGAUGAUUCGGGUAAGGAGUGAGCUAUUUACUAUUUGAGUAAGAGGAUGCUAGAUUACGAGAUGAGAUAUGUCAUGAUUGAGCGCUACUGCUUGGCAUUGGUUUGGGUCAUUCGCAGACCGAGACACUACAUGACCGAGUAUUCGGUACACUUGAUAUCCCGUCUAGAUCCACUGAGAUAUUUGUUUGAUAGGCUCGCUUUGGUCGGACGACUUAUGAGAUGAUUGGUACUUUUGACUGAGUUCGACAUUCAUUAUGUCACUCGAAAGUCUAUCAGAGGGAGCAUUGUUGCAGAUCAUUUAGCCUCAUUACCAGUUUCUGAUGGUAAAACCAUUGAUGAUGAUUUCCCGGAUGAGGAUGUUGCUGUUGUGACUAGUUUGUCGGGUUGGUGCAUGUAUUUUGAUGGUGCGGCCAACCAUUCUGGAUACGGGAUAGGUGUUUUUUGAUAUCUCCUCAUGGUGACCACAUUCCUAGAUUUGUUCGUUUGACAUUCUUGGAUCGACAUCCUGCCACGAACAAUAUUGUUGAGUAUGAGGCUUGUAUCUUGGGAUUAGAGACAUCUCUUGAGCUCAGGAUUAGACAGAUGGAGGUGUUUGGUGACUCCAAUAUGGUAUUGAGACAGAUUUAGGGCAAGUGGAAGACUAGAGAUGUGAAGCUUAGACCUUACCAUGCAUACUUAUAGCUACUGGUUGGGAGAUUUGAUGAUUUGAGGUACACACAUCUGCCUAGAGCGCAAAACCAGUUUUCAGAUGCCUUAGCUACACUAGCUUUCAUGAUUGAUAUUCCUACCAAGGCUACUGUUUGCCGUUUACUGAUCGAGUUGAGAUUUGUUCCUACCUACUGUUGCUUGAUUGAUGAGGCAGAGUUUGAUGAUGGCUUACCUUGGUACCAUGACAUAUACCAGUUUCUGUGACUUAGUGCAUAUCCUGAGACUGCCACAACCAAGGAUAAGAGAACAUUGAGACAAUUGGCCACUCGAUUUGUGAUUCGUGGAGAGACAUUGUACAGACGAUCAGCUGAUGAGAUGUUAUUAUUGUGCUUAGACCAUGCCUCUGCCGAUCGAGUGAUGAGAGAGGUUCAUGCGAGAGUCUGUGGACCACAUAUGAGAGGGCACAUGUUAGCCCGUAAGAUCAUGAGGAUUGGAUAUUUCUGGUUGACCAUGGAGACAGAUUGUUGCCAGUUUGUUCAGAGAUGUCCAUAGUGCCAGAUACAUGGGGACCUCAUUCAUUUACCCCCUUCAGAGUUACAUGCACUAACUUUGCCAUGACCAUUUUUAGUAUGGGGCAUAGACAUUAUUGGGGUCGUUAGUUUCAUCAAAUCACACAUUAUUUGUUGCCAUGGAGUUCCUCAUGAGUUGAUUUCAGAUAGAAGAGUACAUUUCAGAGUAGAUGUCGACACUUUAUUAUAGAGAUACGGUAUCCAGCAUUACAUAUCGUCUGCGUAUAGGUCGCAAACUAAUGAGGCUAUAGAGGCUGCGAAUAAGAAUAUUAAGAGGACCUUACGGAGGAUAGUUGAGACUUCUUGGGAUUGGUCAGAGAAGCUCCUUUUCGCAUUGUAGGCUUAUCGGACUUCUUUUCGCACCUCUAUAGGAGCCACACCCUACUCUUUAGUGUAUGGUAUUGGAGCAGCAGAUUCCAAAGGCAGAUUGGGCUCAGGCUCGAUUAGACCAACUCAAUCUCCUAGAUGAGAGGAGAUUGAGGGCAGCAGACCAUGUUCAUGCUUAUAAGAGGAAGAUGACCCGUGUAUUAAAAAAACAGGUUAAGCCUAGAUCGCUAUAGAAAGGUGACUUGGUUCUAGAGAUCAUCAGGGGAUUGAUCAGAGAUCCUAGAGGAAAGUUCAGACUCAAUUGGAGCGGACCUUACUUCAUUAGGAAGUUGACCCUAGAGGGCGCUGCAUGGUUGAUGGAUUUAGAUGGAAACCGAUUCUCGGAGCCAACUAACGUAGAUCAGUUGAAGAAAUAUUAUGUUUGAGACCAUGGUCAUAGGAUGGGUAACCAUCAUUUCGGUUAGCCAUAUACCUUGUUAUUCUCUUUUGAUAUACAGACCGUUGUUAGCCCAUUGAGCCUCGCAUGUGCAUUAUAAUCUUUCUUUCUUAUUGGCUUGCUCACUUUUUUUUUUUUUUUUUUUGCGUCAGGAUAGGGGCCCUUUAGUGUAGGCAUGCAUUGUUUGAGAGUCUCAUGAGUCUUGGACCUACAGGUGCAUCUUUCUCUCAUUAUUUUUCCUACCAUCACUUUACUGCAUUCCAUCUUAUCUCAUUGGUUGUGUCCUUCAUCUCUUCUUUUUUAUUCUAUCCAUUGCUUGUUUUUCUUCAUAUUCUCUCCACCUUGAGUGGUGAUCUUCCUCAAUUCAUUACAUGGAGGAUAGUCACAUCAUUUCCACUAUCUAUCAUACAGACACUAAUUUAGAGAUCCUUAAUUUGAGAAGAUCAUCUCGUUAGAGAGAGUUUUUGUUGCACUCGAGAGUGUGUCUAUCCUUUAUUGAUAUCAUCUUUGGGGUUCAUUUGUUUAUGUUCAGGGUAUGUGCAUUUGUAUGUAUGUAAAAAAAGAAAAAAGAAAAGAAAAAUAAGCACAUGUGUGUAUGUGUAUAGUAUUCUCCAUCAUUGAGCGUGUAUAUUGAUAUCUGAGGGUCAUUUUAUCGAGUAUGUUUGUUGUUGAGAGUUUGUAUGUGAGCUUUCUGAGAUCAUCUUUUCUUUGCAUCCACUUUGUCAUAUUUCUUUGAGAGUGAGAUGAGUAACCUUCUCCUAGGGACUCUAGGUCAUUGUCAUUUCCAUCAUUACAUUCAUUAUUGAUGUGACUUCACUCCAUGUUUGAUUUGAGUUGAUCAUCACUUUUAUUCGUAUAUUCAUUGUUUCGCUCUCAUCUUCAUCAUUGCUUGUGAUUCAUCCUCUUCGCUUCACCCCCUUGUUCUUUUCCUACACUGACUUAUUCCAGAUUUGAUAUUUCCCUGGCAUCAUUCUUGCGCAUCUCAUUAUCAGUUUGAUUUGCUUCAUCGUCUCAUUAUUGAUAUUAUAUUCACGUUAGGCACCUUCAAGUUCAUGGCUCACGAGAUUUUCUAUACAUGUUGCAUUUCAUACAUGAGGGCAUGAGUUUUGAUCAUUGGGUAUUUGGGCCUAGUUUCCUUUCUUUUCUAUUACCCUAUCACCCUAGCCUAUGUUACGUCCCAUGUCUUAAGACCACCCUGAGGCCAUGGGAUCAGAUGUCAUCUUCAACAACCCCUACUUGGACAGGUGUUUGAGAUUUGGUUGAUAUUUAGAUAUAGUCAUGCUUCUUCUUCUGAGAAAAGCCUCUUUGAUGUUUGGAUCUAAUUUAGCUAUGGAUUUGGAUGAUUGGGAUCACACAUUUGAUGAUGGAUGAUUUGAUGUUUUCCUAUUUUUUUGAUUUGCCAUACAUCUGAUAUCAUACUUGGGCAUAUUCCAUUACGAUUGAGAUUUAUAGAUCUUCAUGGAGUUGCAUGCUUAUCCCCACUUACGAGAUACACAUUGAGACGAUGACCUAUUUGUUAUCUUAUCAUGAUUCUUUGGUGGAGCCUCUUUAAGUCAAACCCACACUUUUCGGCCUUUAGAUGUCAUCGUACUUCUUCUUCUAGAACACGCCUUAUUUGAUCAUUGGAUUCAAUUCAGCUAUGGAUUUGGAUAAUUGGGAUUGCAUAUUAUGAUGGAUGACCCGAUGUUGUCUGAUUUUUUGAUCUACCAUACAUUUGAUGCCAUAUUAGGGCAUAUUUCAGUUUCGAUUGAGAUUUACAAAUCUUUAUGGAGUUGCAUACUUAUCCCCAUUUACGAGAUACAUGCCGAGACGAUGACCUGCUUGUUAUUUUAUCAUGAUUCCCCAGUGGAGUCUUUCUUAGACCAUUCAAUUAGGCUCACACUUUUCAGUAUUUAGAUAUUAUCAUGCUUCUUCUUUUAGAAGACAUCUUCUUGAUGUUUAGGUUUAAUUCAAUUGUGGAUUUGGGUGACAGAGAUCACACAUUGAUGAUGGAUGAUUUGAUGUUGUCCGAUUUUCGGCUUAUUCCACAUCUGAUUCCAUACUAGGGCAUAUUUCCAUUUCGAUUGAGAUUUACAGAUCUUCAUGGAGUCACAUGAUCAUCCCCACCUACGAGAUACACGUCAAGACGAUGACCUAUUUGUUAUCUUAUCAUGAUCCCCCAAUGGAGCCUCUCUGGAGCCAUCUAAUCAGACCCAUAUUUUUCGGCAUUUGGUUGUCAUCAUGUUUCUCCUUCUGGGGUACACCUUUUGAUAUGUGGGUCCGAUUCAGUUAUGGACGUAGAUGACUAGGAUUGCAUAUUCGAUGGUGGAUGAUUUGAUAUCAUCUGGUUUUCCGACCUAUCACACAUUUGAUGCCAUAUUGGGGCAUAUUUCCGUUUUGGUUGAGAUUUGUAGAUCUUCAUUGAUUUGCAUGAUCGUCCCUAGUCACGAGAUACAUGCCAGGACGAUGGUUUGCUUUCAUUUUGUCUUGAUUCUCCAAUGAAGCCUUUCUUGAGUCAUUCAAUCAGGCUCAUAUUUUCUUAUAUUGUCAUGAUUCUUAGAUGGAGUUAUCUUAAGUGCAUAGACUCCCACGUCAUCAUUUCGGUGGAGUACAUGUCAGAUCUCUUAUACAUCCCCCAUUGAGUUAUUCUCGAGUUAUCAGGAUAGACCGGAUGCCUUAGUCACUAUACUGGGGCAUAUUUCUUUUCUUUUUUUUAGCCGUGGAGAUGAUUGUUUUCUCACAGACUUGUUACGGUCUUCAUCACUCGACCGAGGAAUAUUUAUUUGCGUUACUGCUCAUUGUUUCAAUGUUUUUGUCGAGAUAAGCCUCCAAAGGAGCACAACCUUCAGGUUUUGGCUGUCUCACUAUCCAUGACUCUUUCAUAGGUUGUUAUGUUGAGGUCGCAGUAGUUACCCCAGCGGACUAUCCUCUUGAGACCCCUAGUGGAUCAUUAAUUUAAGAUGACGAUGGACUCCUCCAACAGAACAUUUUAAGUUAGAGGUGCUUGACUUAUUGUGACACAUUAUCAGGCCUCGUGAUUUAGUUGGAUGGAUUGUGAGGUCGUACUUAUCAUCGAUUUGAUCAUUCUGACUCGCUAGCGAUCUUUUAAGACUCAUGGAGUCUUUUUCAAACCCUUUCAUUAAAUUAAGAGUUGUGGCGGCACGCUACAUUGAAACAUAUUUCUCUUCUCAUCAUUUCCUUGCAAUUCGGCAUUCAGAGCCGCCAUCUCUUCUCGGUUAUGACGUUCAGAGUCGUCUUUCUCAAUUUGACAUUCAGAGAUGUCAGUUCUCAGGUUUGACGUUUAGAGCCUUCAUCAUUUCCAGUUCAGUGUUCAAAGUUAUGUUUUCGGUUUGGCGUUCAGAGUCGCAUAUCCAGUUUGGCGUUUAAAGCCACCAUCUCUUCUCAGUUACAACGUUCAGAGUCGUCUUUCUCAAAUUGACAUUCAGAGACAUCAAUUCUUAGUUACGGCGUUCAGAGCCUUCAUCAUUCUUAGUUCGGCAUUUAGAACCAUGUUUUCGAUUUGGUGUUCAAAGCCACCAUCUCUUCUUAGUUACGACGUUCAGAGUCGUCCUUCUCAGUUUGACAUUCAGAGAUGUCGGUUCUCAGUUACGGUAUUCAGAGCCUUCAUCAUUCUCAAUUCGACAUUCAGAGCCAUAUUUUCGGUUUAGCGUUCAGAGUCGCAUCUCCAGUUUGGAGUUCAGAGCCACCAUCUCUUCACAAUUACGACAUUCAGGGUCGUAUUUCUCAGUUUGACAUUCAGAGACAUCAUUCUCAGUUACGGAUUUCAGAGCCUUCAUCCUUCUCAACUUGGCGUUCAAAGCCAUGUUUUUUAUGUGGUGUUCAAAGCUGCAUCUCCAGUUUAACAUUCAGAGCCGCAUCUCUAGUUUGGCGUUCAGAGCCAUCUCUUCUCAGUUACAAUGUUCAGAAUCGUCCUUCUCAGUUUGACAUUCAGAGAUGUCAGUUCUCAGUUAUGGUGUUCAGAGCCUUCAUCCUUCUCAGUUUGGUGUUCAGAGCCAUGUUUUCAGUUUAGCGUUCAGAGCCGCAUCUCCAGUUUGACGUUCAGAGCCGUAUCUCCAAUUUGGUGUUCAAAGCCACCAUCUUUUCUCAGUUAUGAUGUUCAGAGUCGUCAUUCUCAAUUUAACAUUCAGAGAUGUUAGUUCUCAGUUACGACGUUCAGAGCCUUCAUCCUUCUCAGUUCGACGUUCAGAGCCGCAUCUCCAAUUUGACGUUUAGAGCCACAUUUCCAAUUUGGCGUUCAAAGCCACCAUUUCUUCUCAGUUAUGACGUUCAAAGUCGUCCUUCUUAGUUUGACAUUCAAAGAUGUUAGUUCUCAAUUACGACAUUUAGAGCCUUCAUCCUUCUCAGUUUGGCAUUCAGAGCCAUGUUUUCGAUUUGGAGUUUAGAGCCAGAUCUCCAGUUUGACGUUCAAAGCCGUAUCUCUAAUUUGGCAUUCAAAGCCUUCACCUUCUUCAGUUUGGCGUUUAGAGCCAUCAUAUCUUCUUGGUUACGACGUUCAAAGUCGUCCUUUUCAGUUUGACAUUCAGAUAUGUCAGUUCUUAGGUUUGGCAUUUAGAGCUUUCAUCCUUCUCAGUUUUGCAUCCAAAGCCAUGUUUUCGGUUUACCGUUCAGAGCUGCAUCUCCAAUUUGGUGUUCAGAGCCACCAUUUCUUUUCAGUUAUGACAUUCAAAGUUGUUCUUCUUAGUUUGAUGUCCAAAGAUGUCAGUUCUCAGUUACGGCGUUCAGAGCCUUCAUCUUUCUCAAUUCGGCGUUCAGAACCAUGUUUUCGAUUUGGUGUUCAGAGCCGCAUCUCCAGUUUAGCGUUCAGAGCCACUAUCUCUUUCUAGUUUGAUGUUUAGAGCUACCAUCUCCACCAUAUCUCUCAUAGUUUGGCAUUUAGAGCCACAUUUUUAGUUUGGCAUUCAGAGCCAUUGUUUAUUCCUAGUUCAGCAUUCAAGGUCAUCAUGUCUUUCUUCCUAUUGGAGUUCAGAGCCAUCAUUUAUUCCAGUUUAGGCAUUUAGAGUCAUCUCUCCUAGUUUAGGAGAGUCGUUCGUUUUAGUUUUGGCGUUCAGAGCCGUUGUGCAAUCAAGCAUUUGGAGUCACCAUAUUUCCUUCUUUUGGUGUUCAAAGUCAUUUUUCCUCAGCCUUGUCAUCUAUAGUCAUGGCUCCUGGCAUUCAUAUUCACUAGCAUUGCACAUCUUGCCUUCACAAUUUUACAUUCGUCUUCAUUUUCCUCACCUCGUUUCCUUGUGUUUAUUGCUUGUUCAUCAUGCUCUUCUAGACUUCUCUUUCCACUGCACAUGACAUAGUCCUUUGAGUUCAUGGCACAUAUUUCGGUCAUGUUGCUAGGCCCCCUACACUUAACGUUCUCAUGUAGUUCGCAUAGGGCAGUCCCCUUUGGACGCAUUCUUUCCUAUACCCCAAGGUGGUUUGACCGUUACUCAUAUCUGACAUUGAUCUUCGAGUCACUUCUGGAGACAUCUUAGAGAAAGUCUAGGUUCAUAGUGCAACUUUAGAGGCACUCUGAGAGCUACCCUUCUCUUAGGAUUUUAGACCAUUUUUGUUCCUUUAUUGGUUUGAGCGAGUUUGUGUUCUACUUGUGCCAUAUUAGGGGUCUUUCUUUUUCUUUGGUAGAGUCCACUUCAUUUCAUUCACUAUUUACACUUUUUUUUUUCACUCUAGUGUUCAUAUUUCUUACACUCGUGAACUUUAUUGAAGAGGGGCAUAUUUUUAGACCUUUUUUUUUAAACUAAAGUUUUUUUUUUCUCUUUUUAUUUUUUACCACCCGGGAGGAGUUGGAGAGCAUUUCAUUUGAAGUGGGGGACAGUUUCCAUGAAGCUCCAUGCAUGGACGUGUGGCUGGGACCACCACCUUGCCAUGGUGGUGGUUGAGAUGGGACUUCUUUUGAGCAAGGAGCAGUGGUACGGGUGGGGUUGGUAGAAGCUUGAGAGGAAGGAAAACAGGAGAAAAUUUGGAGGCAACUUGAGAAAAAUGGAGGAAUGAGAAGGGAAGCUUGAGGAAAAAAAAUGAGUAGAGACCGUUUUGGCUUGAGAAUGAGAACCAACUGAGAAUAAAGUGAGAGAGAACGGGGUUAAAAAAAAAGGGGAGAGGGGGGGGGGGGGGGGGGGGGGGUUAAAGACCCCGGUAAGACCGUUUUUUUUUUUAAAGGGGCCAAAAAAAAAGUUGCCCUGGGCCUGGGGAAAGGGGCCCCCGAAAAAAAAAAAAGGGGCGGGGGCCCUAACCCCAAAUUUCCCUUUUAAAGGGAAAACCUCCCGGGAGGGCCCUCUUGGGUUCCCUUUUUUUUUUUUUUUUUUUUCCGGUGGGCCCCCCCCCCUUUUUUGGGAUUCCCCCCUUGGCGGGGGGGGCCCGAGGGGGGGGUAAUAUUGGGUUAAAAAUUUCCUUUCUUUUUUUUUCCCAAAAAAAAAAACCCNNNNNNNNNNNNNNNNNNNNNNNNNNNNNNNNNNNNNNNNNNNNNNNNNNNNNNNNNNNNNNNNNNNNNNNNNNNNNNNNNNNNNNNNNNNNNNNNNNNNGGGGGGGGGGGAGGUUAAGGAACCAUGAGAGAGCUGAGUUUAAUUUAAAGGAGACAAAAAGAGAGUUGCAAUGGAGCUGGAGAGAUGGCGCACGGAAACAAGAAGAAGGAGCAGUGAGCUGAAGCCUAAAAUUCCUUGUUAGAGGGAAGAUCUUCAGGUAUGGCCAUUAUGGGUUUCCUUUUUUUGUUUUUUAUUUUUCAUGUUGAUCCUGCUUCAUUCUUUGUGAUUUCCACAUUGCUUGUUGGGUUCGUAUGGUUUGGUUAUUAUUGGUUUAAUAUUUCAUUUUCUUUUUUAUUCCAAUAAAGAGAUACCUGAAUGUGCUUCAAUUUGUCGUUUCAUUUGUAAGGAGCUUGCUGCUUUAUUCUGAAAACCUUUUCCAUAGCUCAAUCCACUAAUUGUUAAACCUAUGGAUAAAAUAACAAAAUGGGUUCAACAUAUUGGUUAAGUGUUUUAUGCUUUAUUCUUGCUUCUCCUCUCAUGCUCCUCUGUUUUCCUAUGAAUGUGCGCCCCAAACCUUAGAAUCCAUAUAUCCUUGAAGGUCUCUGGCAAAUCAACUGAAAAUGAAAACACAAAAAAAAAAUUAGAAUUUUUCGAAAUGUUUAUGCAUUGUUUUUUUAAAAAAAAAUUAUUUUGGGGCGUCGAGUAUGCACGGAUCUGGAGCUGUGAUGGCUUGGAACGUUCUACACAACCUUAAGGAGCCUUGGCCCGAUCAUGAUCCUCUUGAUCCUUUGACAAGGUUAGAUUUUGGUGUUUCACCAGUUGAUGCUUCAAAACAGAGGGUUUGGUGUUGUAAAAAAUGCAGCUAGAUGAAACUACCUCGCUGCCACCAGCGUUCUGUUUAUGGGAGAUGUAUUGAAGAUGGACCAUCAUUGUUUUUGGGUUGUGAAUUGUGUUGGGGCUUUGAACGACAAAUAUUUCCUUCUUUUCUUGUUUUACACGUCUCUUGAAACAAGCCUUGUGACUUCAUCAUUACUACCACAUUUUAUAGCUAUCAUUAUUACCACAUUUUAUAGCCAUCAUUACUACCACAUUUUAUAGCAUUCUUUAUUGAGGGAGAAAUACCUGGAACACCUUGCACCUCGGGCCUCGCUUUUACAUGGCUACCCUCAUGUACCACUAACAAAACCUACCUGCUAGCAAAUCUCAUAUUUUUUAAUUCUUCAAUAUCAAAGUUUAAUUUAUUUUUUUUAAACGCCAAUUCUUAAAUUUAAAUUUCAAAAUUCCAAUUCUCAAAUAAUUUUAAAAAUUUCAAUUUCUUUCAAAUUUAAUUUCCGAAACGCCAAUUCUUAAAUUUAAUUUUCAAAAUUUCAAUUCUCAAAUAAUUUUCAAAAUUCCAAUUUCUUUCAAAUUUAAUUUCUGAAACUCCAAUUCUUAAAUUUAAUUUUCAAAACUCUAAUUCUCAAAUAAUUUUCAAAAUUCCAAUUUUCAAAUUUAAUUUCCGAAACUCCAAUUCUUACAUUUAAUUUUCAAAACUCCAAUUCUCAAAUAAUUUUUAUUAUUCUAAUUUCUUUCAAAUUUAAUUUUCGAAACUCCAAUUCUUACAUUUAAUUUUCAAAACUCAAAUUCUCAAAUAAUUUUCAAAAUUCCAAUUUCUUUCAAAUUUAAUUUCCGAAACUCCAAUUCUUAGAUUUAAUUUUCAAAAUUUCAAUUAUUAAAUGAUUUUCAAAAUUUCAAUUUGUUUCAAAUUUAAUUUUUGAAACUUCAAUUCUUAAAUUUAAUUUUCAAAAUUUCAAUUCUCAAAUAAUUUUCAAAAUUCUAAUUUCUUUCAAAUUUAAUUUCCGAAACUCCAAUUCUUAAAUUUAAUUUUCAAAAUUUCAAUUCUCAAAUAAUUUUCAAAAUUUCAAUUUUUUUUCAAAUUUAAUUUCCAAAACUCCAAUUCUUAAAUAUAAUUUUCAAAACUCCAAUUCUCAAAUAAUUUUCAAAAUUCCAAUUUCUUUCAAAUUUAAUUUUCAAAAUUCUAAUUUCUUUCAAAUUUAAUUUCCAAAAUUCUAAUUCUUAAAUAUAAUUUUCAAGACUCCAAUUUUUAAAUAAUUUUCUAGACUUCAAUUUUCAAAUAGAUUUAAAAAAUCUAGUUUUCUUUCGAGCCAUUUUAAUUUCACUCCAGUUUUCAAAUAUAUUUUUUUUAUUCUACAACUCUCCAUCCUUUAUUAGGGUUUUUUUUUAGGUCGUCAAAAAUUCUGAUUUUAAUAAGUUUGCUACCAUUUUCAUUUUGGUAUGCACUUGUACAAAUUUUCUUCGAUUUUCAAAUAAUCUUCUGUUUAUCUUAAUUUUAAAUAAGCAAGAAUGAAUUUUUCCUAAUUCCAAAAUAAUGGAAUUUGUGAGACUAAUUCAUGCAAGAUAAAUUGGGCUUUGGUGGGAGCCCCACAUAUGAGUUUUCUCUUCUGAUUGUCAAUUGUUAUACUUAAUGAAUAUUGUUUGAUCUUUAUCUUGCUCUUUGAUAUGCAUGUGAUAAUUUUAUAAUUGAGCUAACCUUGUUUCCAUGAUAACGCACUAUUACUUGUCGCUAAGGUACAAUCUCACUCUCACUUUGCUUAUUCUUAUGCACGAUUCAUUUUAUUAUUUGAUCAUUUCAUUGGUAUCCAUUACUUUCCUUAUCAAUUGCCAUAUUUGUCUCACCUUAUUUAAUAGAGACCCAUUUUUAAGGGCUUAGAGGGGUGCUACGGUCUUUACCAUACCUUCCCAAUAAGUAACCUGACCCCCGAACCCAGACUCGGUUUUUCAUAAACUUGUCUUUUCCAAAUAAGGAGUCACACUUAGAGUUUUCUUUUUUAUUUUGUUUUCCCUUAAAAAAAUAAAACAAAAAUAAGUGGUGAAUCCAAGUUUUUUCUAAAAAUCAAAAUUUUCACAAAUAAAUAGAAAACGAGUUUCACCAUUGAGUAGGAACGCAUCGAGAAAAAUGCGGGGUCCAUAAGAGGUUUCACCAAUUCCCCAGUUGGUAUACACAAAUCUAGCUUAGGAUCAUCCCAUUUAUUUGGGACCACAAGCUUUGAUUCGUAUUCCAUUCGAAAUCGGAAUUUUUAUUGAAAACCGAGAAAGAUGCAAACUGAUCAAAACAUGGUCUCAUAUUUUUAAAGAAAAUGAGAUUUUGAUUCUAAAGACUCUAAAUGAAAUUUAAAAAAAAAAAAAAGAUUUUCAAAGGGAUCUUUUGAGAAAAGUGUUUUGUUUUAAAAAUAAACAAAAAGAACUAGCAUAAGAUCACACAAACACAUCUAGACUGAAAAGAUAACUUAAAAUUGAACUAAAUUGGAAUUAGAAACAUAAACUUUAUCUAACAUGAUUAAAUGAACUAUUGGAUCAAAAUCACCAACACAUCUAAACUAAAGAAUAAAUUAAGAUUAAACUAUUUGGAAUUAAAGACAUGGACUUUAUCUAAUAGGUUUAUUUAAACUAAUGAAUUAAAAUCACUAACACACUUAAACUAAAAGAUAGGUUAAAAUUAAAUUAAUUAAGAACUAAAAAAUGUAAACUUUAUCUAACAGGAUUAUUUAAAAUAAGGAAUUAACAUCACAAAGACAAUUAAAUUAAGAGAAUAAAUUGUAACUAAACUAAACCAGAAUUUAAACAAAAACAUGAUAUCUAAUAGGAUUAAUUAAUCUUAAGAAUCAAAACUUCAAAUAUAUCUGAAUUAAAAAAUAAACUAAAAUUAAACUAAAUUGGAAUUUAAAAAAAACCAUGAAAUUUAUCUAACAAAAUUAAUCAAACAAAUGAAUUAAAAUCAUAAACACAUCCAAAUUAAAAAUAAAAUAAAAUUAAAUUAAAUUAAAACUAAACUAAAUCGGAUUAAAAAAAAAAAAAACUGGAACUCACCUAUCCCGUAUCAUUGAUACCCUCCUGAAUGCAUGCCUGUUGUGCGUGUUUCAGAAAAUCAUCUCUUAGUGUGUGGCUGUAUGUGACAGCCAUCCUAAAAGCAUGGAGUGGACUGGGCUUAUGGCAGCAUGUUGUCCCCUCGUUAGUAGCAUGUCUUCUCCAUUAGCUUGGUGGUAUUCCAUGUGGUUCCUUUCAUGUGGUUGUGUGAGUGGUCUUCUGGGUGGGCUAUCCGUGGCUACGUAACAUGAAGAAAGGUGGUUGUUUUUCCACUGAAUGGCUUGUAAUCCUCUAUAUAUGAGUGACGACAUUCUCGUAUGUGUGUAUUGUCAACCUAGUUUCGGUAUUUACAAUGCCUUAGAACCUUGGUGUGAUGAAUGGGAGACAACCCUUACUAGAUGGUGGCAUGGGAAGUGGAGGUUUGAGCUAUGUUGAUUGCGCUGGGUUUAAUAUCUCUACAUCUCAUGUAAGUCAGAAACUAUCCAGGUAGCUCUUCUAAUAGAGCUUCGACUACAAAAGUUUGCCCACCACACACUUCCCUCAUGGGAACAAACUGCACAAUAUCUCGAGUUGAUACACGUCCUGCGGAACUCUAUAAUUGACAGCCGUUAUCAGCAUCAAGGAUCUCCAUUUUUUUAAAAUCUGCUCUUCCCACUCCAACUAUCAGAAUCGAUAAGGGAAAAUCAGAUGCCCUGACCAAAGCAUAUUUUGUUUCUUGGAGAUCUGUAAGUACUCCAUCCUUUAUGAUAAGCAAAACAAAAUAUUUGUAGUUGUUAUAGCAGAGGGAUUGGCCAACAAUUUCAACUACAUUGUUGAUCACUUGUCCAAAUAAAGUCGGUCCCGCCAGAGCAACAUGGUUUAGUGCACUUGCAUAGGCAGCCAUGAUCUCUUGGAUUGUCAAGCCCCAAGACCCACUCCAAGGGCGUGACGGUCAUUUCACACCUCAAACCUGAAGGCUUAAAGUAUAAUCUGACCCAAACAAUCAUAUUGUAACUGGAUGUUACCAAUUACCAAAUACCUAUUCAGAGUAGCGGAACAAAAUCUAAAAUCCUCAAAAUUCAAUUUCCAAAUAACUUCCAAAUAUCAAAUGAUCCAAAUGAAUAUAACUAACAGUUAAACAAAAUCCAACAUAAAAUCCUAAGUCAAAUCUUAAUGAUGACCAUUCCUCAGCCUAGCCAUCACUCCUCACCCGAACUAAGAGUACCUGAAAAAUUUUCAACAAUUGGGAAUGAGCUCACAACCCAAUAAGGAAUAUUAAUGCAGUUCAUGGAUCACAUAUUUUCAUUUCAAAUAGGAGAUAUCAUUUUUUUUUCUCAUCAAAUAUCAGAGUUUCAAAAAUACCAAUAUAUUCAAAAUUCAACCAACCAAUUUCAUAUCAAAUUCAAACACUUUCACAUAAGAUUCAAUCAAAUCCAUUCAAUUUUUCAUUACUCUGGUUAUCAAAUAUCAAAUGCCCAGUUAGGUGGGACUUUUCAAAUGGGUGGCUAGCCUCAAAUUGUUCCUGGUGGACGGAACCAAACACUACUAGUACUAGUAAUCUCUAACCAAACCCCUAGAGGCUGGGGUCCAAAUCAAUUACAUUCUCACUAUGAAAUGUAAAGGUCAACUAUUAUAUCUCAUUGACAAGGUCGAAUAGUCAACUAUUAUAUCCCGUUGACAAGUGUCAAAUAAACCAGAGUGAUGUUUUUGUUCAAGUAUUCAAAUUUACACAACAUAAUAUCUCCAUAUUUUGUGUCAUAAAUAAAACAAAAUAUUCCAACAUAAUAUUUAGUGCAAAACAGUUUGAUCCAUGCAUGGUAACAAAAUAUCAUUUUCUUUUCCACAAUUCAAAAUAACAUAUAAAAAAAUUUAAUUUUAUAAAUAUUGCAUUAACUUCCCUUACCUCAAAAGAAGUCCUAAAAAACUUUGGAGAAAAAAAUAAUCCUGAUAAUCUACUCUUCACCUAACAAAACAUAAGAAGAACAAUUAUUACUAUUUACCUAAAAUUAUAGGUUUGACAAUCCUAAAAUUUUAGGUAUUCAAAUUAUUAUUUUUAAUUAUGAAAGACAAUUUAAUCUAUUCAUAAUAAUUUUUUUUUUGGGACACAACUUAAUUUAAUUAAACUAUAAUUUAUUUCACUAAUUAAUUUCUAUGUUAUUUAUUAACUUAUACUCAUCAUUAGUAUAAUUAUAAUACCAAAAAAAAAACUUUACUUUCUUUUAUUUAAAACUUCUAUUCUCUCUUUCCUUUUUUUUUUCAAACAUAAACUUUAUCCAUUAUUGUCAAUAUAAUAAUAUAUAUACAUAUAUAUAUACAUUAACUACCAAACCCCAUUCAUCCCUCCAUCCGUACACACACCCACACCCCAUAUAUAUAUAUAUAUAUAUUUUCUCCAAGUGUGCACAUGCGUCCUCUAUUUUUUUUUCUUUCUAAAAGCUUAAGAAUUUCCAAUUUCCAACAAUAAAUCAAAAUCUUAAAUUUUCACUAUUUUGAUAUUAAAACGAAAUAAUAAUAAUAAUAAUAAUAAUAAUAAUAAACUAACCCUAAUUCCAAUAAUAAAUCAAAAUCUUAAAUUUUCACUAUUUGAUAUUAAAACGAAUUAAAAAAAAUAAUCUAACCCUAAUCUAGAUUUGGGGUUUUCCAAAAAAUAUAUAUCUAAUGUGCUUGAAAUUAACUAAUGAAUCUAAAAUAAUAAUCUAGGGGUUAGAAACUUACCUAUAGAGGUUUGUUCUUCAAACCUUGAAAUCUGACCUCAACUUCACGUUCUCUGGAAACUCUCUAGGAAUAGGAAUACGAUUAAAAAAAGAACAGGAAGAAGAGAAUUUUCUAUUUAUACCUAGGGUAUUAUUCGUAAAAUUACCUUUUCACCCCUCUUCCAUUUUAUUAAAUUAAUUAAUUAGUUAAUUUAAUAUCAUUAUUAAGAAUUUCCUAAAUUACCCUUUAAAAGAAAACUUGGGCAUUACAUCCUCCUCUUCUUAACAAAAGUUUAGUCCUAUAAACUUGACAUGCCUGAAUCUUGAAAUAAUUGGCCUCUCGGAUACUAUGAUUGCUCCACUGGACCUUUACCAACUUGACAACAGCAUGUCGUAGUACCUUAUCCAUCACAUCCACAAUUUGAACGGGUACCUUUUCAUAGGUCAAGUCCUCAAAAAUUUGAAUAGGCUCCAACUCCACAACAUGAGAGGGAUCAUAAAUAUACUUCCUUAGAGUUGAAACAUGAAACACAUUAUGAACCUUAGACAGGCUUGGGGGCAAGGCUACUUUAUAUGCCAAAGUGCCUACUCUUUCUAAUAUUUCAAACGGACCCACAAAGCGAGGACUAAGUUUUCAUUUUCUCCCAAAUCUCAUCACAGACUUCAUAGGUGAAACUUUCAAGAACACAUGAUCACCCACCUCAAACUCCAAAUCUCGCCUACGAUGAUCGGCAUAACUCUUAUGUCUACUUUGAGCUGCUUUUAAUCUUUCUUUAAUCAAAACAACUUUUUCAACAAUCAACUGCACAAGUUCAGGCCCCAAAAGUUUCCUUUCUCCAACAUCAUUCCAACAGAUAGGAGAUCGACAUUUCCUACCAUACAAUGCCUCAAAAGGUGACAUCCUAAUGCUAGCUUGAAAACUAUUGUUAUAGGCAAACUCUACUAAAGGUAAAUGAUCAUCCCAAUUACCUUGCAGGUCCAAAAUACAAGCUCUCAACAAGUUUUCCAAAACCUGAAUUACCCUUUCUGAUUGGCCAUCAGUUUGAGGAUGGAAAGCAGUACUAAAACUCAACUUAGUGCCCAAAGCUUUUUGUAGACUAUGCCAGAAUCUAGAAGUGAAACAAGGAUCUCUGUCAGACACUAUAGAAACUAGUACUCCAUGCAUUCUCACAGUCUCCUUCACAUAAAGAGAAGCUAAACGAUUUAAAGAAAAGUUGACUUUCAUAGGCAAAAAGUGAGCAGACUUUGUCAACCGAUCAACAAUCACCCAAAUAGCAUUAUUACCCCCUAAGAUUCUUGGCAAUCCUAUCACAAAAUCCAUGGUAAUAUGCUCCCACUUCCACUCAGGAAUAGCAAGUGGCUGUAAAGACCCUAUUGGUCGUUGAUGUUCAGCCUUCACCUGUUGACACACUAAACACUGAGCCAUAAAUUGUGCAAUAUCACGCUUCAUACCUGACCACCAAUAGUUUUGCCUCAAAUCCUUGUACAUCUUUGUCCCUCCUGGGUGGAUUGCAAACUUGGAACAAUGAGCUUCCUCUAAAAGCUCCCUCCUUAAGUCUUCAUCAUUUGGGACACAAAGUCUAGUCCCAAAUCUUAAGACCUCAUCAUCUGACAAAACAAAAUCAGGCUUAUUGCCCCUCUUAACUUCCUCCAUAACUUGCACUAAUUGGGAAUCAUUCUUUUGUAGGGUCUUAAUUAUCCCAACUAAGUCUGGUUGUACUCUGAAAUCUGCUACAAGUGCUCCUAAGCCCAUAACUCGAAAGUGGACUUGUAAACUCCUCAACUCUUCAAGUAACUGCCUUUGACAACCUCUAAUAGCUGUUAGAGAACCAACUGACUUCCUACUCAAGGCAUCAGCUACAACAUUUGCCUUCCCAGGAUGAUACUGAAUAAUACAAUCAUAGUCCUUAAGUAGUUCAAUCCACCUCCUCUGUCUCAUGUUCAAUUCCUUUUGGGAAAAUAAAUACUUCAAACUCUUAUGAUCUGUGAAUAUCUCACAAGUUUCACCAAAAAGAAAAUGUCUCUAGAUCUUAAGUGCAAAAACCACAGCAGCUAACUCCAAAUCAUGAGUAGGGUAGUUCCUUUCAUAAGACUUCAACUGUCUAGAAGCUUAAGCUACAACUCUCCCAUGUUGCAUAAGAAAACAACCUAAACCCUGAUGAGAGGCAUCACUAUACACCAUAAAUCCUCCUGAACCUGAAGGGAUAGUCAAAAUAGGAGCUGACUCUAAUCUAUUCUUCAACUCUUGGAAGCUACAUUCACAAUCAUCAAACCACUCAAACUUAACUCCCUUCUGUGUCAACUUAGUUAAAGGUAGGGCAAUCUUAGAGAACCCUUCUAUAAACCGCCUAUAGUAACCAACAAGUCCCAAGAAACUUCGAAUCUCAGUCACAGUAUUAGGUCUUCUCCAAUUAGCUACAACAUCUACCUUUCCAGGGUCAACUGAGAUGCCAUCAUUGCUUACCACAUGCCCAAGGAAAGAAAUUCAGUCUAACCAAAACUCACACUUCUUCAGUUUAGCAUACAACUGCUUAUCUUUGAGGGUCUGUAAUACAAUACUCAAAUGGCCCUCAUGCUCCUCUCUACUUUUUUAGUAUACCAAGAUGUCAUCUAUAAAAACCACCACAAACUGAUUUAGAUAGGGCUUGAAUACCCUAUUCAUUAAGUCCAUAAAAGCAACAGGUGCAUUAGUCAAACCAAAAGGCAUAACCAAAAACUCAUAAUGCCCGUAUCUAGUUCGAAAAGCAAUCUUAGGUACAUCUUCACUUCUAACCCUUAACUGAUGAUAACCAGACCGAAGAUCAAUCUUAGAGAACACAUAAGCACCUUGUAGCUGAUCAAAUAAAUCAUCAAUCCGAGGAAGGGGAUACUUGUUCCUCAUUGUCACCUUAUUCAACUCCCUAUAGUCAAUGCAAAGUCUCAUUGAGCCAUCAUUCUUUUUCACAUAUAGAAUAGGAGCUCCCCAAGGUGAAACACUAGGCCUGAUAAAACCCUUGUCUAAUAACUCCUGAAGCUGAACUUUCAACUCCUUAAGCUCCACAGGUGCCAUCCUGUAUGGGGCCUUAGACAUAGGACCUGUUCCUGGUACCAGAUCGAUGGUGAACUCCACCUCUCUCUCUGGUGGCAAGCUAGGCAAAUCCUCUGGAAAGACAUCAGGAUACUCCCUUACUAUGGGUAUGUCUUCCAACUUCAAAUCACUUUCAUUACUCAUCACACUAGCCAAAAAUCCUUGGCAACCCUUCUUGAGCAAGCUACUAGCUCGCAAGGUUGAGAUCAUACGCAGUGGUUUGUCCACAUGUUUCCCUUCAAAGCUAAACUUAGGUUGACUAGGAAUACUAAAUGUCACCUUUUUUUCAAAAUAGUCAACAGAGGCAUGGUAGGAAGCUAACCAAUCCAUCCCCAAAAUCACAUCAAAAUCCUGAAGGUCAAGGAGUACUAAGUCAACUGGCAUUUCCCUAUAACCAAUCAUCACAAUACAAUUUCUAAUCAUUCUACUGGCCACAACAGAAUCUCCCACAAGAGUAGCAACAAUCAAAUCAAAGUCCAUGCUAGCAACAGGCAAACCCAACAAACCAGUAAAAGAUACUAAAACAAAAGAGUGUAUUGAUCCAGGAUCAAUCAAGACUCUAGCAAAUAAGGUGUGGAUUCAGAGAGUACUUGUCACCACAUCAAAAGUGGCCUGAGCAUCUCGAUGAGUCAUAGCAAACACCCGUCCUUGGGCUUUGGGUUUCUGUUUAUCCUCCUUAUUUUCCUCUUUAGGCUUCCUAGUGAUGAACUUCCUAUUCUCUGGACAAUCUCUGAUCGAAUGUCCUUGCUUCCCACAACCAAAGCAAACUCCAGUCUCUCUAUAGCAUGACCUACCCCCAUGCUUCUUACCACAAGUAGGACAAGCCCCAUCUAAAUUAUGCGCUGUCUUCCCUUUAUUCUGAUUUCUUCCUAAUGUAGACCUUCGCUGUGCUUGAUUACCAUGAGCACCAUCACUCCUAUUUCGCUUCCUUUGCUGUUCCCUAUACUGAUGAAGCUCCUCAUUAUCUUUCUCUGCUAUAAGGGCUCUAUCAACAACCUCUGAAUAGACACCAAGCUUUAGAAUAAAUAUCUUGUUCUUCAAAUAAGGCUUCAAUCCAUCCUGAAACUUUAAUGCCUUUUCCUCCUCUAUAGCAAUCAACUGUGGGGAAAAACGUGAUAACUCUGUAAAUUUGGCCUCAUACUGAGCCACAGUCAUAUCCCCCUGUUCCAAACGAAUAAACUCUCCCACCUUCUGCCGCCUAACACUAUCAGGGAAAUACUUCUUGUAGAAAGCCUCCCUAAAUUGUCUCUAUGUUAUGGGUCCCUGAUCCUCUAAAAGUCUCCUAGUCAUACGCCACCAAUGAUCUGCCUCUUUAUCUAAUAUAAAGCUGUAUAAGAGGUUUUUUGCUCCUCAGAGCAAUCUAUGACACCAAAUAAUUUCUCCAUCUUAAGGAUCCAAGCCUUUGCCUCUGUGGGAUCUGUAGCACCAGAAAAGUAAGGAGGACCCAAUUUCUUGAAGUCAUCAAAAGAGCUACCCCUAGAAGAUGAAGACUGUCCCUGAACAUUAGUCCCAACAGCUCGAGCUUAGCGUUCAACUAAACCAGCUAGUGUCCCAAGAUACCUAUAAAUCCCUUCUGUACUCACAAGAGGCAAACCCUCAACUGGAGGUAUAUCAUCAUUAGCCUGACUGUUUUGUGAAGAAGCUGCUCUUCUUGGUGGCAUGAUGUCCUAAAAUAAUAAUGCAUAACUAAAUUAGUCACUAAAGAACCAAUUAGAAAAUUUCCAAAUAAAGAAAGAAUUGAAAUUUAUACUAAAUGAAACUAAAACUUAAACAAAUGCGUCACUCAUCUAUCCCCAAUCUAAACCAAUUCAAAUUCCCAUCAAGAUCAAAACCUAGUGCUCUGAUACCACUCUGUCAUGCCCCAAGACCCACUCCAAGGGUGUGACGGUCAUUUCACACCUCAAACCCGAAGGCUUAAAGUAUAAUCUGACCCAAACAAUCAUAUUGUAAUUGGAUGUUACCAAUUACCAAAUACCUAUUCAGAGUAGCGGAACAAAAUCUAAAAUCCUCAAAAUUCAAUUUCCAAAUAACUUCCAAAUAUCAAAUGAUCCAAAUGAACAUAACUAACAGUUAAACAAAAUCCAACAUAAAAUCCUAAUGAUGACCAUUCCUCAACCUAGCCAUCACUCCUCACCUGAACUAAGAGUACCUGAAAAAUUUUCAACAAUUGGGAAUGAGCUCACAGCCCAAUAAGGAAUAUUAAUGCAAUUCAUGGAUCAAAUAUUUUCAUUUCAAAUAGGAGAUAUCAUUUUUUUUUCUCAUCAAAUAUCAGAGUUUCAAAAAUACCAAUAUAUUCAAAAUUCAACCAACCAAUUUCAUAUCAAAUUCAAACACUUUCACAUAAGAUUCAAUCAAAUCCAUUCAAUUUUUCAUUACUCUGGUUAUCAAAUAUCAAAUGCCCAGUUAGGUGGGACUUUUCAAAUGGGUGGCUAGCUUCAAAUUGUUCCUGGUGGACGGAACCAAACACUACUAGUACUAGUAACCUCUAACCAAACCCCUAGAGGCUAGGGUCCAAAUCAAUUACAUUCCCACCAUGAAAUGUAAAGGUCAACUAUUAUAUCCCAUUGACAAGGCCGAAUAGUCAACUAUUAUAUCCCGUUGACAAGGACCAAAUAAACCAGAGUGAUGUUUUUGUUCAAGUAUUCAAAUUUACACAACAUAAUAUCUCCAUAUUUUGUGUCAUAAAUAAAACAAAAUAUUCCAACAUAAUAUUUAGUGCAAAACAGUUUGAUCCAUGCAUGGUAACAAAAUAUCAUUUUCUUUUCCACAAUUCAAAAUAACAUAUAAAAAAUUUAAUUUUAUAAAUAUUGCAUUAACUUCCCUUACCUCAAAAGAAGUCCUAAAAAACUUUGGAGAAAAAAAUAAUCCUGAAAAUCUACUCUUCACCUAACAAAACAUAAGAAGAACAAUUAUUACUAUUUACCUAAAAUUAUAGGUUUGACAAUCCUAAAAUUUUAGGUAUUCAAAUUAUUAUUUUUAAUUAUGAAAGACAAUUUAAUCUAUUCAUAAUAAUUUUUUUUUUUUGGAUACAACUUAAUUUAAUUAAACUAUAAUUUAUUUCACUAAUUAAUUUCUAUGUUAUUUAUUAACUUAUACUCAUCAUUAGUAUAAUUAUAAUACCAAAAAAAAAAAAAACUUUACUUUCUUUUAUUUAAAACUUCUAUUCUCUCUUUCCUUUUUUUUUUCAAACAUAAACUUUAUCCAUUAUUGUCAAUAUAAUAAUAUAUAUACAUAUAUAUAUACAUUAACUACCAAACCCCAUUCAUCCCUCCAUCCGUACACACACCCACACCCCAUAUAUAUAUAUAUUUUAUUUUUUUCUCCAAAUGUGCACACGCGUCCUCUAUUUUUUUUUUUUUCCUAAAAGCUUAAGAAUUUCCAAUUUCCAACAAUAAAUCAAAAUCUUAAAUUUUCACUAUUUUGAUAUUAAAACGAAAUAAUAAUAAUAAUAAUAAUAAUAAACUAACCCUAAUUCCAAUAAUAAAUCAAAAUCUUAAAUUUUCACUAUUUGAUAUUAAAACGAAUUAAAAAAAAUAAUCUAACCCUAAUCUAGAUUUGGGGUUUUCCAAAAAAUAUAUAUCUAAUGUGCUUGAAAUUAAUUAAUGAAUCUAAAAUAAUAAUCUAGGGAUUAGAAACUUACCUAUAGAGGUUUGUUCUUCAAACCUUGAAAUCUGACCUCAACUUCACGUUCUCUGGAAUCUGUCUGCGAACAGGAAUACGAUUCAAAAAAGAACAAGAAGAAGAUAAUUUUCUAUUUAUACCUAGGGUAUUAUUCAUAAAAUUACCUUUUCACCCCUCUUCCAUUUUAUUAAAUUAAUUAAUUAAUUAAUUUAAUAUCAUUAUUAAGAAUUUCCUAAAUUACCCUUUAAAAGAAAAUUUGGGUGUUACAUGGACCCUUUCAACCUCAACACCACUUGCACUUCCAUUUAAGUUAAAACAAUGUGAUAUGGUACCAUCCAUUAUUCUUCUCCCAAAUCCCCAUGCAGGAAAGCGCCUAUCAGAAUCAUAAAAUUGUAUGACCUCUUCGACGUCCAUUAUAGCUUGUUGGUAAGCAUUGAACCGGCCAAAAUGAUCAAUGUAGUGCAAAGAAUCUGGAGUUCGAGGAUUUCCAUUUGAAGCAGUAAAAUCGACAACAACCAUAAAAUUAAGUGCACAUCCACUAGAUACAUAAUCAAUAAAACUGUAUAGUUGCUUCUCACAAAAUUGAUCAACAAAUAGUUGGUCCUUCAAAACCUUCUCAUGACCAUGUUGAACAGAAGAGGGUAAGAUGAAAUUGACACCAAUUUUUUUUUUUUUUUUUUUUUUGUUUAUGAAGUUUUUCCAAGUCUACCACUGAUUUUUGAAGUUCAAUAAUCAGUACAUUAUUCCCACUAGUAUUGAAAUCAAAGCACUCAAUAACUAAUAGGUUAUCCUUGCUAACAAAUUGCUUCAUUGUCAAACGUAGAGGCCUCCAGAUUGGAUUCAAGUUGUUAUCAACCACUUUUGUCUUGCAAAUUGAAAAAAAACCUCCAUGUUCAACCAUCCUAGAUAUUCUUAGAAAAGGGUCACUUUUAGAAACCAAGUCUUUGUUUUCCAAAUGUGAACAAUGGAAUAUAACAUCAAUAGAUUUCCUUGAAGCAGCUGUUUCCUCUGCAUGGACAAUGAGUUUCCCUAGGUUUUUCAAACCCCUAUUCCCAUUUCUGUUAUGAAGAUCUAAGGUUAAAUUUUGGCCUUGUUUAGUCAAUAUCUCUGAUAGAACACAACUGCAUUCUCCAAGGAAUUCUUGAUCAUUCAACUUCAGUGUUUGGACAGUCUCCAAUCUUAUCACUUGACUUCAAGUUGCCAUUCCUCUCCAAGAUUCUCCCCAAACAAGUGUACUACCGGUUCGACUCAUUUUCUCCGAAGUCAAUCCCAUAAUGCUUUCUCUCCAAAGUUUGUAUGCUAUAAUGAUUUCUUCCUUGCUUGGAGAAUGGUGCGGUUGGUUGAUGGUUCUUCCCUGAAUCUGUUGGUUCUUCUCUGAGUUAGAUCUUCCCCUCUAGAAAAAUCCCUCGUGCUCCUUCCAAAUCACUGGCUUAUGCGUCCUCUUCCUCUCCUGGAGAUAUAUGUUUCUAUUUUUCUCACGAAAACAAUCCAAAAAAAAUCCUCCUGCCUCCUCCCGUGUCCCUUAAUUGAAUACAAGGUAUGUCAUUUUCCCAUCAUAAUAGUAAGCAUUUAAUUAUAAUUACUCAAACCUCCCGAUGAACUAAUCCUACUGGUUCUAGUAAACGAUUUACUUGCACCAUUCCCUCCAACAAAAUGAAGAGAUCAACCACCAUUACCUCCCCAUAAGAGAGAAUCUCCAAGGAAAAUAUGAGGAAUUUUGUGAGCACCAUCAGUACUAAUGAUAACAACAAUAAUCAAACCAUAAAUUCCCAACACUCUUGCCAUAACAGCUGGAACGAUCGACUUCAUAACAAGUUCCAAUCUCAUCACACCCAUGGAGGCCACACCAACCCCGUUCUUUGUGGUUCCAUAUGACACUCCCAUAUAGGAGAAAACAAGGGUGGUAGCAGCGUCGAGGAAACCGAAGAAUGGAGCCAUCUCAUCGCCGCUGAAGGUAGACAUCUUCUUGUGUUUGAUUUCCACCCAAACGGACCAGAUUUGAAAAAAUUUCUUCCUUUUUCUCUGCAGUGUCCUUUCCUCUAUGCUUAGAAUUUUUCUUCCUCUUGUUCCCUCUUCCUUUGUCUGGUGUGAUUGCACUUUUUUUCUCAUUUUUUUUUUAUGAUCUCUCUGAUCCCCUUUCUAGAAUGGUAAGUCUUCUUUUCAUGUAACGCUCACUAUUUCAUUCAUCUAUGCGCGUGAUGUUCUCCCAACUGUCCCUUGUAUUUUUCCAAAAAAACCGGCUUCAUUCAUUCACCAGAACGCCGGAGAUCCCUCUUUCACGUGAUGCUGAAUCGCCCUUUACCCUCAUGGUGAAUAUGUGUUGUCCAUUUUUAAGUCCCCCGCAUCACUUUCCAAUGGUGGUUGCAUGUGGACCUUCAUUGUAGAUUUCCUCCAACUCUCCCAAAUCCAUAGAUGCCUUUAAAAUACACUUUUCUUCCCAUCCUGAUUUUUCAUUCCAAAAAAUAUAUAGCCCAUUGACCUUCUUUUUCCUUAAAAAAAAUUUGACCUUGAUUCCCUAUUCCCAAAUAUGUAAUCGUUUCCUCAUCAAAACAAAAUAAAAUAAACUUAAAAAUUAAAAAAAAAAAAAACUAAUGAAAAUCAUGAGAUUGAUAAAUAAAAUAAAAGAAGAUUAAAAAGAAAAAAAGAAAGACUAAAUUACGUAAUUUCAUGAUUUAAUAAUGCAACCACAUGCAUAUUUAAAGUCAAAGCAAUUCAAGCAAUUUUCUAUUAAAUAAGUAAAUAAAUAAAAAAAAUUAAACAAAAAUAAAUGUAAUUAUUAAAUUCAUGCAAUAAUAAUAAAAAGAUUAAAAAUAAAAAUAAAAAUAAAAUAAUAAAAAAAUAAAAUAAGAUAAAAUAAAAUAAAUAAAUAAAUAAAUCAAGCGCGUGCUAGUCAUACAAUCUAUGCAACCCUACUUGAGAGGUGACCUAAGCAAGACUAGUAAAACUAAGUGGGCUAGUCAUGCCUAAUGGGCCAUGUGUGCUUAAAUGAGCCUAAGGUGCUUAUGUGGGCUUAGAGUGCCUAAGUGGGCCUAGGAAGGAUGCCUAAGUGGGGCCUAGGAUGCCUAAAUGGGCCUAGGGUGCCUAAAUGGACUUAAGGUGUCUAAGUGGGCCUAAGGUGCUUAAGUGGGCCUAAGGUGCCUAAGUGGGCCUAGGGUGCCUAAAUGAACUUUAAGUGCCUAAGUGGGCUUAAGGUGCCUAAGUGGGCUUAAGGUGUCUAAGUGAUCUAGUCUAAAUAGGGCUACCAAGAGUCACAAUGGGGUUAGGUAAAUCUCUUAACCAAAGUCUCCAAGGUGUCUUAGAAAAGAUAGACUACACGAGUAGUAAUGGGCCACCAGGAAAUUGCUGUAAAGUAUUGAACAAAUACCUAAUAGGACAUGUGCUAAGAUGACAAAAUGGAGAGUCUACAGAUAUUUUCUUGUUUAGGGGAAUUUGUCCAAGGUUUCCUUUCAACUCCUUGUGUGCGCCGUAACAUGCUAGCAGUGAUUCGUGAUGAGGACUUGACUUCUUAACCAUCACCUCCAUGUAUUCUCUUGUAGUAAAGGCAACCCUAUAGCUUGAAUAAGAGUAGUAGGUUGAAAUAUCACGACUUGAUUCUUGAUUGUAUUUCUCAAACUAGUUAUGAACCAUAUUCCUCUAUUAAGCACUUGUCCUUACCAUUAACGCUUCAAACUACUCUUAAUAAAUUCACACCGAUGAGGUUUGCCUCAAUUUAGUAAUCUAGCCUAUUAGAUUGUCAUACGUCCUUGGUCCAAGCUGCAUAAUUAUAUUUACAACAAAUGUCUUUCAAUUUAAUUCCUUACCAAAGGCUUCAUAACCCUAGAACCAUUGUAGAGUCUUGCCCUUCAAAUGAAUAAAGGCAAUCUCAACCUUCUCUUAUUCCAACAUUUCAUUAUACUAGAAAAACCUCUCACACUUGUACACCCAACCCACAAGAUUUUCCUCCUCAAAAGCUAGAAAAUUCAAUUUUAAAAAUUUGGUUUGCAUAUGAUUCAUGUUAGAAGCGAAACCUGUUCGUGGCUUGAUUGCAAUUAAACCACAAACCCCCAUGGAAACCAUUGAAACCAAUGAUUUUUCUAUUAGAUGAUCAAUUUUGAGGUUCAUUGCUAUCAUCAUUCGGGCUAACUCCUUCAGUUCUAACGAUUGUUGAUUUGAGGUCUCUUUCAAUUGCUUUACGGAAUCCUCCAACGGAUGAACUUCUUGUGUUCUAGUCCCAUCCAUCAUCACUUGGUGCUAGGUUGUCGCUCUAAUACCGAUGAAACAACCAAGAAGAAGAAGAUACGAUAUAAACAAAGAAAAAUAAAACUUUUAUUGAAUAAUGUUCUCAUAAUCCCUACCUAAAAGGAACUAGUCUCUUUAUACCCAAGAGUCAUUGACUCAACAAAAAUAAAAGUAUAAAUUGCAAAAGAAAAUCAAAUAAAAUCUGAGUAAUUACCAAACUCAGCUUAUUCAGAAACACCUAAGAUAACCAAAAUAAAAUCAAAUAAAAUGACGGAACCUAAUUUAAAAUGAGUUAUUGCAAAAGUAUUUUAAAGGUGGAUUUUAUAACCCUCGUUUCUUCCUUGUAGGAUCAGCUGGUGCAAUUCUCUUGGGUCAAUUUCUCAAUUGUGAGAACAAGAGGUGUAGAGAUUUUGAUAUGAUCAUGCUUAAAACUGCAAGUAGGGAUGUCACAGAGAGGCAGCAUUAAAGGUGCAAUGACGUGAUGGAGAAAAAUAAAAUUUUGUUUCUUUUCUGCAACCAGCAGCCCAACUAAAAGAGAGCAAGUUCAGUCAACUCUAUUAUCCAUGAAACCUGUAUUACAAAAGAAAGUGAAAGAUUAAGACAAAUAUUGAGAGACCCAUUUAAUUCUGCUGCUUGGCCUUUUCAAACAUAGUGAUUUUGUUAGUAAUUGCUGGGUUUUGUGGCUCUUUCUCAAGGGUAGGUGUGAUAUUGGGGUUCUGAAGGAGAGGGACAGAGGGGUAUCAUAAAACGACGUGGUUGGAACUCUUUCUCACAUUACGUUUAGGGUUUUUGCUUCUUAUUGGCAGCAGGAAGGAGCUGAGUGGGAGAGUGACAAAUAUGAGAAAAAAAUAACCCAUCUGCAUGGAAGCCAUUUUUGGGCUAAGUUUCAGUAGUGGAGGAGAAAACUGGCAAUUCCUCAGUCUGAGCUUCUCCUUUUUCCUCAAUUGGAUGCUGUUUAUGUAGGGCUUGACCAAUCCAAGUUGAAGCCCUAGUUAAAACCCUGAUGGGGCUAAUUAAUCGGAUGCCAUAUUGCAGAAAGAGCUUCUUACUCAUUUUACUUGAGCCUUGAAAAAGUUCAGCAGAUGGAGAAUAACAUUUCCCUAAUCCUCCAUUUGCUGGUUAUAAUUACAAUUCCCCAUCUCUCCUUGUAAAUUCUCUGUUUAUACCAAUAUUAGCUAUCUCAUCCUUGCCAAAAACAGCUUGCUCUAAUGCUUUCUAAUUCGUGGUAACAGAUGCUUUGCUUUGAUAUAUGAACUUUACGCAAAUAAAAAAUAACAUUCCAUUUGGAAUGUGUUCAAUUAGUUAUGUAUUUAAUCCCAUGUACUUGUACUUUGAAGGACAAUUCAAGGGCUUUCCAUGCAUUGAUUGAAUAUGGCUAAUGGCUAGUCAAAUGAGUAUCCAAUGGAUAAGUCAUAAGAAUAAGGAAAGAGAUGUUUUCCUGGUUACUGGAUGAGGUAGAGGCUGAAUCUUUAUGCUUUACUUAAUGCCUGAGAAAGAUUCUAUGGAAAUGAUUUCUUCAAAAUAUUACAGUAGGGGGGUGGUAUGUUUCUUCCUCUAUUGAAAUUUUGAUGAAUAAUUUCCUCUUGGUUUUGAAGUUGUGGUUUGCUACAUUGGUGGAUGUCAUUGGCAUUAUUAUCUGACUCUGUUUAUCUAUAUUUCUUUUCUUCUUUGCCUUUAUUUGUCUGUCCCCUUUUCCUUUUCUUGUUUGUGUCAAACAUUUGCUGUUGAUUAUCUUUUGGAAUGUUAUGUUUAUACAAAUAACAGUGUGGCUUAGAACUGUUGUAUGUUGGUAGUCUAUUGCUCAAACCAACUGUCUGAAUAAAAUGCUUGGGUAAUGACCUAUUAAUUGAACGUUGUGAAGAACUCCCAUAUUCCUUUUGUGUGAAUCCCAUGGUCGAUGUUUUUUUUUUCAUCAUUUUGGAAGGGAUCUGAUAUAUAUUUUCAAUAGGUGUAAGUGUGAGGCAUACUUUAACCAGAUCCAUCAUUUUAAUUUAAGAAUUUUAUAUUUGUAGAUAGACCAAGAUACUUUUGUUUUGCUGUUAACACAUUUCCAAACAGUUCAGAUAAAAUGUAUCAAGAAACAUCAGCCAUAGAAACAUCCAUAUUUUCAGUCUGCAGAUUAGGAACUUGCAGCUUUAAUUAAUAGGACAUAAAGUUGAACAUAAAAAUCCUGCACUAUCAUGAAAAAAUAUAGCUCACAAAUCCAGUAGAAAAGCUUUAAUAUCAUGCAACUUUGUCAAUGCUUCUCUCAUGAUUAAACGAUCUGUAGUUGAAUGAGCAGCACACGACAAACCAACAUGUAUUAUGGCAGUAGUACACUCUUCAGUUUUGAUUUGCGAAUGGGACGAAGUAUUGCUGCUAUUAAUGAUGCUGUUAAAGUCACCAGAAGAACUAGUGAAGGUGCUAUAGUCUGUACAAGCAUCAUUGUUAAAAAGCCGUUUGUCAGCCAUAUCUAAAAAUUGAUUUAUGAGCAGAGCGGAUGCCAACUUAUGCUGAUCUAAACCUUCCUGAAACAUUUCAUCUGUGGGUUUCUUUGCUGUGAAUAUCUCAAGCAGCAAAAUUCCAAAGCUGUAGACAUCCCUACUUGUUGAAAUCCUUCUACCUAAACCACACUCUACAACAAAAUAACAUCACAUUAGAGUAAUGAAGACCCACACUCAAAAGUGGAAUGUUCGAUGCCGAAUGUUCCUCAACACUUCACACUCUGCAUUGAAAUUCUCAGAAGCUUCACCUUGUUGUAAGUCGAUAACCUUCACUGCAAAAAUGGUGUUGACCCCAUUUUCACCAGUUCAAAAAUGGUGUCGAUAACCUCAUUUUCUUAGCCACCUUUCCCCAUCCCAAGUUCAAAAGCCUUGUUUCUAUUUCUAAGUCAGUAAGAGCUAUCCUUACUCCGUCAUUUAUCAGGAUUGUAUAUAUCGUGUACUCUUUGGUGCCAUUAUAUAUACAUGUUAUUUGUAAAUCAGAAAAAAAAAUACGGAAAAAUGUCUUAAGAGAGUGGUUUGGAGUUAUUUGGGAUUGUGAUUAUAGGGGGUGGGUUUUUUUAUUCAGCAUUAGUAAGUUCUCUCCAAUCUUCUUCAACUUUUGAUUUAUGCCAAGAUUUUUGCAGUUUAUUUUUGUAGUUGCCAGCAUAAGUUAAGGCCUGAGGUGUAGAAGAGGAUAACCCAUGAAAAUUGAGUUUAUAGAGAAAAGGAAAAACAUAUUUUAUUUAUUUUUAUUACUGUUAAAGAGUAAAAAAUGUAUGUUAAGUUAACGUCCUCUUGUGCACACAUCUCCAACCGUGCAGGGAGUGAAACAUUUUUAAACAAAUGCAUGGGGAAUAAACGAACAUAGAAGUUUAAGCCUGAGAGUUCUAAGAAUCAAGGCUCUAGUACUAUAUUUGUUAGAAUUCAUGAGAGUUUGCCUUUGAAAAUGUCUUAGUUAGACUUAGUCUCUGUUUUGCUAUCUCUGAUUUUCAGUUUUCUGUUAGUAGAAGUAGUCAUAGCAGCUGAGAGUUUUUAGCAUUUUCAAUUUGGUUGUAAGCCUAUAAAUAGGCAUUCUCUUCGGUGAAAUAUAGUGUGUGUCUUUCUCCAACUCAGUACUCUAAUAUUUUCUGAAAGUUUUAGUUCCUUUCUCCAGAUUUUUAACAGUGGUAUCAGAGCAAAAUUCCUAUGGGCUGUGAGGCAAAGUUUUUGAGUGUUUUGAGUACUAAACACAGUGAGGUUGAGUGCAAACACUAGUGAGGUUGACUGAUCUAUUUUUUUCAGGCAACUGUGGUGCAAACAUGACUCCUUCUAGCAAUAUUUCCUCUGUAAUUCCAGUGUUUAAUGGUGAACACUAUCACAUUUGGGCUGUCAAGAUGAGGUUUUAUUUAAGGUCUCAAGGUUUGUGGAAUGUUGUGAUGUCAGAAGCUGAUCCACCACCAUUGGGAGCAAAUCCUACAGUUGCUCAGAUGAAAGCAUAUGAGGAAGAAAAACUCAAGAAAGACAAAGCCAUCACUUGCCUACAUUCAGGACUUGCAGACCACAUCUUCACCAAAAUCAUGAACUUGGAAACACCUAAACAGGUAUGGGACAAGCUCCAAGGUGAAUUUGAGGGCAGUGAAAGAGUAAAAAAUGUUAGACUCCUCACAUUGAAGAGAGAGUUUGAGUUGAUGAAGAUGAAAGACGAUGAAUCUGUCAAAGAUUAUUCUGGCAGGUUAAUGGAUGUUGUAAACCAAAUGCGGCUUCUUGGUGAGGCAUUUACAGAUCAAAAGGUGGUAGAAAAGAUCAUGGUUUCAGUGCCUCAAAAGUUUGAAGCCAAGAUUUCUGCAAUUGAGGAGUCUUGUGACUUGCAAACUCUCACAAUUGUAGAGUUAACCAGCAAGCUUCAUGCACAGGAGCAAAGGGUCUUAAUGAGAGGUGAUGAAGCUACUGAAGGUGCUUUUCAAGCAAAUCACAAGGGAAAGAAUUCUGGAAACUUGCAAGGAAAGAAGUUCUUCAAGAACAGCAGAGGGAAAGCUGAAGGGUCUUCAAGAAAAGGAAAAUUUCCGCCUUGCUCUCAUUGCAAAAGAACCAACCAUGCUGAGAAAGAUUGUUGGCACAAAGGUAAACCUCUCUUUAAUUGUAACUUCUGCAAUAAACUUGGCCACAGUGAGAAGUAUUGCAGAGCCAAGAAAAAACAAUCUCAACAGCAACCAGAACAACAUGCAAGUGUGACUGAAGAAGACAAAAAUGAUGAUGAGCAUUUAUUUAUGGCAUCACAAGCACUCAGUUCUCAUGAACUGAAUACUUGGCUCAUUGACAGUGGCUGCACAAGUCACAUGACCAAACAUCUGUCAAUAUUUACCUCCAUUGAUAGAUUAGUUCAACCAAAGGUCAAGUUGGGAAAUGGUGAAGUUGUGCAAGCCAAAGGAAAAGGGACAAUUGCUAUCAGCACCAAGAAAGGUACAAAAAUUGUCACUAAUGUUCUUUAUAUUCCAGAUUUAGAUCAGAAUCUUCUUAGUGUUGCACAAAUGCUAAGAAAUGGAUAUGCAAUCUCUUUCAAAGAAAAUUUUUGUUUUAUCUCUGAUGUACACGGAACAGAGAUAGCAAAAAUUAAAAUGAAUGGAAAUAGUUUUUAUUUGAAGCUUGAUUUAGUUGAAGGUCAUGUCUUUAGUGCCAAGAUUGAUGAGAGUGUUGUUUGGCACAAAAGAUAUGGUCAUUUCAACUUGAAGUCACUGAGGUUCAUGCAAGAAGCUGGUAUGGUUGAAGACAUGCCUGAAAUCUCAGUUAAUGCUCAAACUUGUGAAAGUUGUGAGCUAGGGAAGCAACAACGACAACCAUUCCCUCAAAAUAUGUCCAAGAGAGCUACUCACAAGCUGGAAUUAAUCCAUUCAGAUAUUUGUGGACCAAUGAGCACAACCUCAUUGAGCAACAAUGUGUAUUUUGCGCUAUUUAUUGAUGAUUUCAGCAGAAUGACUUGGGUUUAUUUUCUAAAAACCAAGUCACAAGUGCUCUCUAUGUUCAAAAGCUUCAAGAAAAUGGUUGAAACUCAAAGUGGCCAGAACGUUAAGGUGCUCAGAACUGAUAAUGGAGGUGAGUAUACCUCAAAAGAGUUUAGUGUCUUUUGUCAAGAAGCUGGAAUUCUACACCAGCUAACAACUCCAUACUCACCACAGCAGAAUGGAGUCUCUGAGAGGAAGAACAGAACCGUGAUGGAGAUGGCAAGGUGCAUGCUAUUCGAGAAGAAGCUACCAAAGCUUCUAUGGGCUGAAGCAGUCAACACCUCAGUGUAUUUGCUUAACAGACUACCAACUAAGUCUGUUCAGAGCAAAACACCAAUAGAGGCAUGGUCUGGUGUAAAACCUUCUGUCAAGCACCUGAAAGUUUUUGGCUCAUUUUGUUAUCUUCAUGUGCCAUCUGUCAAGAGAGGGAAGCUUGAUGAAAGAGCUGAGAAAGGUGUCUUUGUUGGUUAUGCAGCAGAAUCAAAAGGUUACAGAAUUUAUAGCUUGAGUAGAAUGAAAAUCGUGAUAAGUAGAGAUGUGCACUUUGAUGAAAACUCCUAUUGGAAUUGGGACUUGAAGAAAGUUCAUAAAUGUGAUCAAACCACUCCAUCUAUUCUUGAACCAGCAAUAGAAAGUACAAUCAUUGAAGGUCCACUUGAUGUUGAAGCAACUUCAGACACACCAGUGCUUAAGAUGAGGCCAUUAUCUGAUGUGUACGAGAGGUGCAAUCUUGUACAUGCUGAGCCUACAUGUUACACGGAAGCUGCAAGAUUUCUAGAAUGGAUUGAGGCCAUGAAAGUUGAAAUUGAUGCUAUCGAAAGAAAUGGAACCUGGAAGUUGACAGAACUACCUGAAGCUAAGAAUGCAAUUGGUGUAAAGUGGGUUUUCAGAACUAAAUUUAAUUCAGAUGGUUCAAUCUUCAGGCACAAGGCUAGAUUGGUUGUGAAGGGUUUUGCUCAAGUUGCUGGAGUGGACUAUGGUGAUACAUUUGCACCAGUAGCCAGACAUGACACUAUAAGGCUACUACUUGCACUUGCUGGUCAAAGGGGAUGGAAAGUGUACCAUUUAGAUGUCAAGUCAGCUUUUCUAAAUGGUAUACUUCUUGAAGAAAUUUAUGUUCAACAACCAGAAGGCUUUGAGGUUAUUGGCCAUGAACACAAAGUGUACAAGCUACAUAAGGCUCUCUAUGGUUUGAAGCAAGCACCAAGGGCCUGGUAUAGCAGAAUUGAUUCUCAUCUGAUCCAACUUGGAUUUAGGAGGAGUGAAAAUGAAGCUACUUUGUAUUUGAAACAAAAUGAUGAUUUUGUAUUUGAAACAAAAUGAUGAUGGUUUGCAACUGGUAGUAUCACUUUAUGUUGAUGACAUGCUAGUGACCGGAAGCAAUGUAAAAUUGCUAGCUGAUUUCAAAAUGGAAAUGCAGGAUGUAUUUGAGAUGUCUGACCUUGGCAUCAUGAACUACUUCCUUGGAAUGGAAAUAUACCAAUGCAGCUGGGGUAUCUUCAUUUCACAAAGAAAAUAUGCUAUGGAUAUUCUCAAGAAAUUCAAGCUAGAAUCAUGCAAAGAAGUAGCAACUCCGCUGGCACAAAAUGAGAAAAUUUCAAAGAAUGAUGGUGAGAAACUUGAGGAACCCUCUGCAUAUAGAAGCUUGGUGGGCAGCCUACUAUACUUGACAGUAACCAGACCUGACUUGAUGUUUCCAGCUAGUUUGCUUUCAAGGUUCAUGAGUUCACCUAGCAAUGUUCACAUGGGAGUUGCAAAGAGGGUGUUAAAGUAUGUUAAAGGUACAACAAAUCUUGGCAUUUGGUAUUUAAAGUCAGGAGGAGUUAAGCUAAAUGGUUAUGCUGAUAGUGAUUGGGCAGGAAGUGUUGAUGAUAUGAAGAGCACUUCAGGUUAUGCAUUUACAAUCGGUUCAGGUGUCAUAUGCUGGAAUUCAAGAAAGCAAGAAGUAGUGGCACAAUCAACUACAGAAGCUGAGUAUAUCUCCUUAGCAGCUGCUGCAAAUCAAGCAAUAUGGUUGAGAAAAUUGCUUGCUGAUUUAGGCCGGGAACAAAGCUCACCAACUGAGCUUUACUGUGACAAUAAGUCAGCCAUUUCCAUUGCUCAAAAUCCUGUCCAUCAUGGCAGAACCAAGCACAUAAAUGUAAAAUUCCACUCCAUAAGGGAAGCUGAAAAGAAUUCACUUGUUAAGCUGCAUUAUUGCUCAACUGAUGAGCAACUUGCUGACAUAAUGACUAAAGGACUUCUUAAAUCAAGGCUGGAGUUCCUAAGGUUGAAGCUUGGUAUGUCCAAGGCAAAUCUCAAGGAGGAGUGUUAGAAUUCAUGAGAGUUUGCCUUUGAAAAUGUCUUAGUUAGACUUAGUCUCUGUUUUGCUAUCUCUGAUUUUCAGUUUUCUGUUAGUAGAAGUAGUCAUAGCAGCUGAGAGUUUUUAGCAUUUUCAAUUUGGUUGUAAGCCUAUAAAUAGGCAUUCUCUUCGGUGAAAUAUAGUGUGUGUCUUUCUCCAACUCAGUACUCUAAUAUUUUCUGAAAGUUUUAGUUCCUUUCUCCAGAUUUUUAACAAUAUUAAAUGAUCAGUUAUCACAAAAGUUUAAGCUUAUACAGAAUGAGUUAAGAAUAUUUAUCAAGUUAAUGGAAAUGAUAGGAACUAGUUAGUGAAAGAGAGUGACAAAGGAAAUUGACAGCAGAAAGCUAAUCCUUCAAAAGUAAAUGGAAUUAACAAAUUAACAAAUUACACUCAUUUCCACGCUGUUAAAGAAAAUGAAAUCGAUCUCCAUGUGACUUAGUCAAUUGGUUCAUCUCAAAGGUCUAGUUUUUAAACAUGUUGGUAUUAUAUGUAUGGAUAUACCCAAUUCAACUGCCAUUAAAAAAUAAAUAGAUAAAUAAAUAAAUAUACUCCUUCCAAUUGCUAUUAACAAUUAUUGGAAGUGGGUGACUAUCUGUAUGGUUGACCUGGUAAACGGAUUCAUCUCAAGAUGGCCCAAUUAGCUUUUCUAGAGAAGUAUCCAAUUAGCUUUUCUAGAGAAGUCAACACAGACAAUUUUAUUGUUUUAUUUUUAUUUUUUGAUUUUUCUUCUUCUACAACAAUUGGCUGUUCAUGAUUAGUCACAUAUUGGUUGUAACAUCAUCUUGAUAACCUACUUUUCUGCAUGGGAAUCAUUUUUUUUUUUUUUUUGGUUCUUUGACAGAGAUAAUGAGAUUGGUCCAACACUUAUUAAUGGCAACAUCAGUUUUGUUAGCCGUUUUCAUCUAUCUCCUAUGUAGAGGCCUUGUUCCUUAUGCCUAAUCUAUAAGAGCUAUCUUCUGUGUAUCAUAGAUGGAUCAUGGAUUAGAUAAUGCAUAUGCAAAACAUAGAAGAAAGAACACUGCAGGGAUCAUUUCCUAGGAAAAGCCUUUCCUCUCAAAGAAAAACUAAUCAGGAUUCAGUACUACUAGCAUACUUUUGAUCAAGUAGAUUUUAUGAGCUGAGCUGACUAAUAGAUCUUCUAUGCCUAGUCCCUUUGUUUUGUACCAAAAAAGGAAAAAAGGAAGUGAGAAAAUAAGAAAGGAGAAAUCAGAAUGAGAAUUUAGAAGUGCAUGAUUUAAAAUGCUUAAAAGUAUUCUUAGAUUAUGUGGAAGGAAUAGGGUCUAUGCAAACAAGUUAUAAUCAUCCCAAUUACUAUAAGAUAUAAAUUAGAAAGCUCUCAAGGUUUUGGUUUAGUCAUAACUUCUUGUUCAUAUCCAGAAGAUUCUCCAUGUAUUGUUCAAAAUAUUGUUUUGACUUAUCAACAAGAGGCAGAGUACUCUUCUUCCAAAACUGGAAUACAUUUGACUGGUCCUGUGUGCUAAGCAUGAUAAAACGAAACAGUCGACAACCCUAGAUUUUCUUAUUAUGUAAUUAAAUAGUCAGCAUUUCCAAAUCCCUCGUGUUUUCGGUAUAAAUACUCAACCUUGACUAAAAUUCUUCAUUCUCAUCCCACUCUAGCUUUUGUUUUCUUUAGCUUGUUAUAUAUUCAUCCUCUGAAGUUAGCAUGGCAAAGAUUUAUUCCUCUAAGGCCUCCAAAGUAAUGCUGACAGCUAUAUUUGUAGCAAUUCUAUUGCUUAUGUUCUCUAUGGCCACUACUGCAAUUCUACAGGACACAACAAUAGGAGUUCAGUAGGGUGAGUAGAAAAUUAUCAUAUGGAGUGUUCUAUUUUUAUUUCUCAAUGCCAAGAUACUUUUGCUUUUUGCUAUCAACUUUGCAUGCCUUUUGCCUUCUUCAUUUCUGUGAUUGUGUGUGAACUAUGUUCAGUUUCUAUGAGUUGGGGGUUUUAUUGAAUUCCAGCCAUGGAAUUGGUAACUGAGAAAUCUUCAAACAGAAGGGUCUACUCAUCUGUGUUCCUGACCGCCUAUCAUUUUUGUGUUGCAGGACGGAAGGCUCUAGGUUUAUCUGUUCAUGUUGAUUAUGAAGACCAGUAUGAUGCAGGAAGGGGAGGAUACGGCUCAACAAGUCCAUAAUCGUGGGAUUGAGUUCCCAAGAGCUGUUUUCGGGAAGGUUGCCAAAUAAAUCUAAGAAUUUCUCUGUGUUUCUGAGUGAUAAUAUAUGGUUCAUGUAUGUUAUUUUACAAAGCAUUUGUACCUUAAAGAAGCACAGAAAGUUGGUGUUAGUCUCUAUAGUGUUGUGUUCCUGCAGUUGUCUUGAAAUUAUAAAUGAAGAGCUUUUCUCCCAGUUCCAUUGUAAUUCUCUUUAGUACUCUACAGAGGAGUCCUACCCAAAUCCCACACCAAAUUGUUAGUUUACAAAAGUCUAUUACCCAUGGAAAAGCUGGGAGUUCUUCAUCCCACACCAUAUUUCAUUUGAUAGAGACUGCAAUAAUUUUAUAAACAUUAUUGGGAGAACCUUAUUUUAAUUUAAUUUUUUAUUUUAUUGCCGUACAUAUGCAAAAAUCCCACACAUUCUGUGUUCAACCGAAUCACAUUGUUAUAUGGAACCAAAAACCCGCUGUCGUUUAACUCCACGGAGAAAGUGUAAAACAGUAUUGCAACUGCUGAUAAGUGAUGAUGGCAUCUGCCAUUGAUGCAAAUCUGUUUUCUUGUCACUUCUUCAGUUUUCUUGUCCACCAAAAGAGGAUUGAAAGUAUUUUAUGUCCUUAGUUUCUUCCUUUUAGGAUCAGCUGAUCCAAUUCUCUUGGGUCGGUUUCUCAAUUGUGAGAGCCAGAGGUUUUAGAGGUUUCGAGUCUUUUGACAUGAUGAAAAUGACCCACAAGUCCUGUAGGGGUUUUCAACUGAGGAGCAGGAUUUAAAUUUCAAUGACGUGUAGAAAAAGAAAAUUUUGUUUUUUUCUGCAACCAGCAACCCAACUAAAAGAAAGCAGGUUCAGUCAACUUUAUUAUGAAUGGAGCCUGUAUUACAAAAGAAAGUGAAGCGUUAAGACAAAUAUUGGGACCCAUUUAAUUCUGCUGCUUGGCGUUUUCAGAGUGAUUUUGUUGGUAAUUUGCUGGAUUUUGUGGCGCUUUCUCAAGGGUAGGUGUGAUUUUUUGGUUUCUGAAGGAGAGAGACAGAGGGAUAUCAUAAAACAACGUGGCUAAAACUUCUCUCUUUCUCACAAUAAGUUUAGGCGUUUAGGGUUUUUGCCUCUAAUUGGCAGCAGCAUGGAGCUGUGCGGGAGAUGGACAAAUAUGAGAAAAAAUCUAACCCACCUGCAUGGAAGCCAUUUUUGAGCGUCUGAGCUCUCCUUUUUUAUCAAUUGGAUGCUGUUUAUGUAGGGCUUAACCAAUCCAAGUUGAAGCCCUAGCUCAAACCCUGAUGGAGCUAAUUAGUCUUAUGUCCAGAAAGAGCUUACUUUUUUUACUUGAGCCUUGAAAAAGUUCAGCAGAUGGAGAGUUACAUUUUCCUAAUCCUACAUUUGCUAGUUAUAAUUACAAGUCCCCAUCUCUCCUUGUAAAUUCUCAGUUUAUAACAAUAUUAGCUAUCUCAUCCUAGCCCAAUACAGCUUGCUCUAAAUCUCUAAUGCCUCCUAAUUCAUGGUAACGGAUGCUUUGCUUUGCUUAGGUAUAUCAACUUUACAUAAACAAAAAUAACAUUCCAAUUGGAAUGUGUUCGAUUAGUUAUGCAUUUAACUACAUGCACUUGUACUUUGCAGGAGAAAUCGAGGGCUUUCCAUGCAUUAAUUGAAUAAGGCUAGUGACUAGUCUAAUGAGUAUCCAAUGGAUGAGUCAUAAGAAAAGAGGAAAGAGAUAUUUUCCUGGUUACUGGAUGAGGUAGAGGCUGAAUCUUUACGCUUUACUUGAUGCCUGAAAAAGAUUCUAUGGAAAUCAUUUCUUGAAAAUAUUACAGUAAGGGGGUUGUAUGUUUCUUCCUCUUGGUUUUGAAGUUGUGGUUUCCUACAUUGGUGGAUGUCAUUGGCAUUAUCUGACUCUGUUUAUCUAUAUUUCUUUUCUUCUUUGCAUUUAUUUUUCUGGCCCCUUUCCUUCUCUUGUUUAUGUCACAUAUUCUGUUGAUUAUCUUUUAGAAUGCUAUGUUUAUACAAAUAACAGUGUGGCUUAGAACUGUUGUAUGUUUGCAGUCUAUUGCUCAAACCAACUGUCUGAAUACAAUGGUUGGGCAAUAACCUAAUAAUUGAAAGUUGUGAAGAAUUCCCAUAUUGCUUUUGUGUGAAUCCCAUGGUUGAUGUUUUUUUUUCAUCGUUUUGGAAGGGGUCUGAUAUAUAUUUUCAAUAGGGUAAGUGUGAGGCAUACUUUCUGUCCCCAACCAGAUCCAUCAUUUUGAUUUAAGAAUUUUACAUUUGUAGAUAGACCAAGAUGCUUUCGUUUUGCUGUUAACACAUUUCCAAACAAUUCAGAUAAAGUGUACCAAGAAACAUCAUCAAUAGAAAUAUCCAUAUUUUCAGUCUACAGAUUAGGGACUUGCAGCUUUAAUUAAUAGGACAUAAUGUUGAACAUAAAAAUUCUGCAGUAUCAUGAAAUAAUAUAGCUCAUAAAUCCAGUAGAAAAGCUUUAAUAUCAUGCUACUUUGUCAAUGCUUCUCUCAUGGUUGAACGAUCUGUGGUUGAAUGAGCAGCACAUGACAAACCAACAUGUAUUAUGGCAGUAAUACACUCUUCAGUUUUGAUUUUCCAAUGGGACAAAGUAUUGCUGCUAGUACCGAUGCUGUUAAAGUCACCAGAAGAACUAGUGAAGAUGCUAUUGUCUGUACAAGCAUCAUUGUUAAAAAGCCGUUUGUCAGCCAUAUCUAAAAAUUGAUUUAUGAGCAGAGCGGAUGCCAACUUAUGCUGAUCUAAACCUUCCUGAAACAUUUCAUCUGUGGGUUUCUUUGCUGUGAAUAUCUCAAGCAGCA